AUUUUAUAUAUUGUAUAAAUAAACAAAAAUAAAUUACGUAUAUAUAUAUAAUUUAUUCGGAUUUGAAUUCGGAUAAUAUUUCGAAUAUCCAUACCUAUUGACAUCCCUACUCCUUAUUCCACUUUUUAAUAUACAAAAAAUACGUAAUAAAAAAUACGUACUAAAUACGGUGAACCAUUCACCGUGUUUGAACACGGUGAAUGGUUUUCACCGUGUUCAACUUAACACACGGGCCCAGUCUUGCCCGUGUGGCGUUGACGUGGCGCCUGCGUGGCAGGCCCAGGGCCAUUUUUGCAAAUUAAAUUUUGACAGGGCUAUUUUUAAAAUAAAAAUUUGUCAGGGGUCUAAAUGCAAAAAAAGCCUAAAUUUUUAGUGAUUAUGAAAAAAAAAAAGAAUAAAAAUACUCCGUCCGCUGUUUUGUUAAUCGUUCUUGUUAUUAUUAUUAUAACUAUCAUUUUACCUGUAAUAAAUUACUUUUCUCAGCAAAUUAUUUAAUUAAAGUACUUUAAAAAUCAACAUGUUAGUGACAUAUUAUGAAAUAUGUAUAUCGAGACAAGUGUAUUUGAAAGAGCGGCCGAGCACGAAAAAUUCCAAAUGAAAACAAACAAAUUAAAAUUCGACUAAUGAUUCGAAAAUAGUCGGCUUAGCUUUAAUUACCUGUCAAAUAUGUUGUGCUAUGCGCACCACGUAGCAUACCCCGAAGAAAUAUAUUGGUCUUAAAUCUUAAUUAAUUAGAGCGUGUUUGUUCCACCUAAAGUGAUUUGUUCCAAUAUAAAAAUUUCACUUUGAGAGCUCAACAGGGUUCUGUACAAUAAUUAAUGAUUUAAAAAUCAAAUUGAACAAGGCUGAUCCAACCGCGACGUAGUCUAUAAACCAGUUCGGUUCAACUCUCUGAACCUAGUAAGUUAAAAAAAUAUUUUAAACUAUUUGAGUUGGUGGUUCAAUCAUUGGACCAGUAAAUCGAUCCAGUUUAAAUCAUGACCAGCCUAAUUAUUUUAAUCAAGUUAUAUUAAACCCAAUGGUUUAAAAUCAACUUAAUUGAUUUUAUUUUCUAUUUAGCAUAUAUUAAUUUUAUAAAAAGAGAAAAUUGAAAAUUUUUAUCUACUUUAUUUGGUCUGUAAUUUAAUAUUUUAUAAUAAUUAAGUAUAAUACUAAAAUAAUAUAUAUAUAUAUAUAUAUAUAUAUAUUUAUAUAAUAACAGUAAAAAUAAUAAUUAAAUAAUUAUGAUGUCGUGUUAGCGUCGCUUGUUCAACCGGUCGAAUCGGUGACUCUUAGCCCGUUAAUAUUUUUGGAUCAUUAUUCGAUUCGAUUUUUAAAAAGUUGACACCAAUUUGGAAGUUGCUUAAUAAAGACAAUAUUUUCGAAAUAAAAUAAACUUCUUUUUUUAGAUCAUAGUAACUAAAAUAUUGCAUAUAUUCCAAAAAAAAUUGCUUAAAUAAAACAAAACAGAUGCGCAACGCUCACUCGUCGAAUCUCCGCCCCGGGGAUCAAAAAAAAGAUCGCCGCAAUAAUCGGCGAUUAUGGAUUCCACCGCGGCGAUUUUUAGGAGCCACGAAAAGGGUGUUGUUUGUUGUUACGGAAUUAACGGAAAUUGUUAUUGAUGGAUUCAUUGCGUGUGUGACCGAGAUUUAAAUUAUCAACUUUUAUCUUUAUAACUAAUAAAAUUAUAGUAAAAGUAGAUUUGUAAAAUAUUAAUUUUUAUAAUUAGUUGUUUAAUAUUCUAAUCAAUUUCAGUUGAAAUUAAUUAUAAAUAUAAUGUAGAUAGAGAUUCAUACAAUUAAAAUUAUAACAAUUCUAACAUAUAUAUAUAUAUAUAUAUAUAUAUAUAUAUAUAUUAAAAAAAUAAGUCCUUGUUUAACAUUGUGUUUAUUUUUUAUUUUUUAAAUUGUAAUGCAUCCGACUAUAUUAAUUUUUUUUAAAAUGUAUUUUAAAUUUUUUUGGUUAUAAAGUAAAUAUUUGGGAUGAAUAGUUGUAAUUAAUUUAUUAUUCACUUUCGCAUUUUUUAAUCAAAAUUAUUAAAAAAAUAAAAGAUACAAUAAGAUUUUUAAAAAAAAUAGUGUGCAUAAAACGGAAAUUAAGGCGUGGCGCUUGAUAUUGGAUUCUUAAAUUGGAUGACGAGAUUCCCCGCUGAUCCGGUUCGAUCUCGAGUGGGGCCCACCGUGGAAUCUGGCGCGUAACAUGCAAGUGGUGUGGGCCCCCUUCAUAAGAUCCUCGCCAAAUAAGUACUGUGAUAUUUUUGCAAUUUGGAAUAUAUUUAAAUGUUUUAAAUUAACUUCAUUAUGAUCUCCUGAUUAAUUUAGAUUGACACAGAAAGAGGGUAAUCUACUACAUAAAUCUGGGCUUACUAACGCUGAUGGGUUAAGUAAGUAGCAACAAGAUGCAUUAAUACAUUCCAUUAUAUAUUAUAUUAGUAUUAUACAUCAUAUUCCGAGCUUUUACAUCGGAAAUUGUAGUGGGUAUGGUAGCAUACGACAGUACAGACAGCUAUUUUCCACGUGGUAAGCUUGUUAUUAAAUAUUGUCCAUGACUGCGAGUUUUGAGAAAAUCAUUAAAAUUUAGCUAAUACAUUAUAAAAAAAUAUUUAAAAUUUAGCAUUGUUUAUAAUUAGUCUUAAACAUUCUGAAAUUAUUAAGAUUAUUAAACAAUAAUGACUUUAAUCGAAUAAAUUUUGAUAUAAUAUUUCACAUUUUGAUAAACAGAGUAUCGGAUGUAUCAGAACAAAUCUUGAUUAUUGCGAAAAGUUAAAUUAUUGUAUCAAAUUAUGUUCAGAAUGUUUUUUUUUUUGUUGGCUCAUCGCAAUAAUGAAGAAUUGUUUGGUGUAUAUCAAUUUCCUUAUAAAAGUUGGUACGCAUUGCAGCAACAACACUUAGCUUAAUUCAAAUGUGGAAAUGUAACAAAAUGUGUGACAGGCUAUUUUAUGGAUUUUAGAAUAAACAACUCUUUGUCUAACAAGGAAGUAUUAGUUUUGAAAUUUGAAUCAAUUAAAUUAUACUUUUCAAUUCUCGCCGAUUAAUAAAAGGAAAGGCAAUUCAUUAUAUGGUUUCUUUUGGUGCGAGAGAAUUAACGAGGAUGAGAGAGAAAAUCAAUUUUAAAUUUUUAAUGGCCAAUUUGCAUGAAAAAUAUCACAGGUUAUUUUGGGUUGUAAAAUCGGGCUAUUUUUCGUUUGCAGAUUCGAUCCGUUUUUUCAGGCAAACUACCCAAAAUACCUUUUACUUUUCUCUUCUUCUCUCUCCCUUCGUUUCUCUCGUUUUUUUUUUUUUUCUCUCGCCUGGCAGCAGCGGAGGUGGAAACGGUCCGUCUCGCCUCUCACCCUUAUUCUCUUGCCCUCGCCCUCGCCCUCGCCCUCGUCCACGCACCCCCCACCUUCCUCGCCGCCAAGGCCGCGCCGCGACUUUUUUUUUUUUUUUUGCUUUUUUCUUUUCUUUUCUUCUCCGACUCUUCUCCACCGUCUCCGACGACGACGACGCCUCUCUCGUCCUUUCCCGCCCUUCUCAUCUCUCCCUCUCCCUCAUUCUCUGCCGCCUCCGACGACGAUGUAUCUUCGCCGGUGCCGACGUCGACGUCGACACCGUGGAGGUCACUGCGGCGCUACAGACUCGGAGCGGGGGUUCUUAGCGGCGUCGUCGCCGGCAGUGACAAAAAAAAUUUAUAGAAAAAACAGAAAAAAAAUAAAGAUAAAAAAUUAUAUAAAAAAAAAGGAUGAACAUGAAAUUGUAUCGUUAACUGCAAAAAAAAUUAUAAGUUGCACUACUUAAAAUGUAAACUGCAGUUUUAAGAUGAAAACUAUAUUCUUUAAACGAAAAUUACACUCUUUGAGAGAUAUUUACACUGUUUCUCUUCUUAUUACACUCUUUCAGAUGUAAACUGCAUCCAUUAAGAUGAAAGUUAUACUCUUUAAACGAAAAUUACACUCUUUGAGAUAUAUUUACACUGUUUCUCUUCUUAUUACACUCUUUCAGAUGUAAACUGCAUCCAUUAAGAUGAAAGUUAUACUCUUUAAACAAAAGUUGCACUGUUUCUUCUCUUGUUGUACCAUUUUUUCUCUUGUUAUACUAUUUUUUAUCUUAAACUGCACCCUUUUAGGAGAUAUUUAUACUGUUUCUUCUUUUAUUGCACUAUUUCUCCUCUUGUUACACCAUUUCUGUGUAAACAAGAGAAGAAAUAGUGCAACAAGAGAAGAAACAGUGCAACAAGAGGAGAAACUGCAUUGUUUAAGAGAUAUAUAUACUGUUUCUCCUUUUGUUGCACUAUUUCUGUGUAAACAAGAGGAGAAAUAGUGCAACAAGAGGAGAAACUGCACUGUUUUAGAGAUAUAUCUACUGUUUCUUCUCUUGUUGCACUGUUUCUCCUUCUAUUGCACCAUUUCUGUUUAAACAAUAGGAGAAAUAGUGCAACAAGAGUAGAAACAAUGCAAUAAAAUGAGAAACUGCACCCUUUUAAGAGAUGUUUAUACUGUUUCUCCUCUUGUUGCAUCAUUUCUGUGUAAACAAGAGGAGAAAUAGUGCAAUAAGAGGAGAAACAGUGCAACAAGAAAAGAAACAGUAUAAAUAUCACUUAAAAGGAUGCAGUUUAAGAUAAAAAAUAGUAUAAUUUUCGUUUAAAGAGUAUAAUUUUUAUAUUAAAGCAGCAGUUUACAUCUUAAAUAGUGCAACUUAUAGUUUUUUUUGUAAUUAACGAUACAAUUUCAUCUUCAUCAUUCUUUUUAUAUAAUUUUUUAUCUUUAUUUUUUUUUUUUCUGUUUUUUCUAUAAUUUUUUUUUGUCACCUUCUCUGCCAACAGCUACGGCGCCGGUGACGACGCCACUAAGGACCCCCCGCUCCGAGGCUGUAGCGCCGCAGUGACCUCUACAGUGUCGACGUCGGCACCGGUCAAGAUAAAUCGUCGUCGGAGGCGGCAGAAAAUGAGGGAGAGGAAGAGAUGAGAAGGGCGGGGAAGGGCGAGAGGCGUCGUCGUCGGAGACGGUGGAGAAGAGUCGGAGAAGAAAAGAAAAGAAAAAAGCAAAAAAAAAAAGUCGCGGUGCGGUCUUGGCGGGGUCGGAGGCGAGGAAGGUGGGGGGUGCAUGGACGAGGGCAAGGGCGAGGGCGAGAGCAUGAGGAUGAGAGGCGAGACGGAUCGUUUCUGCCUCUGCUUCGCCUCCGCUCUGCCGGCGAGAAAAAAAAAAAGAACGAGAGAAACGAAGAAGAGAGAGAAAGAGGAAAGAGAAAAAGUAAUAAGAGUAUUUUGAUCAGUUUGCUGAAAAAGCGGAUUGAAUCUGCAAAAACAAAAAAGAUGGUCCGGUUUUGCAAAAGUCCAAAAUAAGUAAAUUUUUUAUGCAAAUUGGCCAAAGUUAAUACAUUUUAUAUUUUUAGAAAUAUUGUGCACUUAAGUACACUAUAAUUAUAACUAGGUUUUCCUACUAGUGCACACUUAAUAAAGAUUCCAUGUGCAUGCCAGUAAUGACUAUUCCGGUCAAAGCCAACCGUCUCUUUCCUUUUUAAUACUUUGGAUAUUCUUGUGGCCACACAUUGUAAGCUCCUGGAACAAUGCCAAAGAUAGCACAUAAAUGGUCAAAAGAGAAUUUUUUUUUUUUAUAUUAUAUUUGCCAAAAUUCUAAAAAAUUUUAAUGUAUCAGUGGUUUAGAAAAAAAUAUAUUUUCUUAAGAGAAAGAAAAAUAGAAAACUACCCGUUUUGUUUAUUAUUUAAAAUAAACUUAACUAAAAUAUGAAAUAAUUAAAUUUCAAACUUGUGACAUCAGGUACAACCUAUUGAACCCCUAGUCGAUUAUGACUUAGUUUGGUAUUGAGGUCUAUCUAACGCUAUUAGAUAAAUGGAGUUAAAAAAAUAUAUAUAGGGGUAUGCUUCUGCAUUCUCGGGUGGGACCGUAGAAAAUAUAUCGUAACUGACUCAUCGGGAUAUGCGGAAUGCAAUAUUACGUACAGAAACAAACAUGGUAUUUUUUCAACGUAUUUUUUCGCCGCACGUAACGCAAUCUUUCUGCAAUCCCAAAGAAGAUAGUUGUUGCUGAUGUAAAAGAUACGAUCAAUACACAAAGUCAUGCCAUCCAUAUGAGUGAUAAGAUGGUUAGGUUAUCUUAUAAAAGAUUUUAAAAAAUAAAAAUAAAGCUGCACUAAACAAAUAUAGUGGUUAGCCCUCAUUACUCGGGAAAAAUUCUAAAAUGUGUGAGUUACAUAUCUUAUGUGGUGUGACCCAACCAAUCACAAUUAUCCUUUAAGAUUUAUUCAUCUCAUCAUGAUUUAUAAAAAAAAAUUUUUAUUGCAUUUUUUUUUCUAAAAGAGAAGUAUUAGACUAGUAUAGACACUGUACAAUUGUUUGAGUAAGAGCCUACAAACAAAACAAAAUAAAAAAAUAGAAAAAAAAAGUAAUAUUCUCCUUUUAGGGUGUAUCCAAGCAAAAGGAUUCAUUUUCUUAAAACUAACUUUGGGUCCACUUUUCUUAAUGACACAUGCAUAGGGUAUAACUUUUUAGUUAUUAUACUAUUCAAAAAGUAUAAAAAUCAAAGAAGAGGGGUUUAAAAAUGUUGGUUUUUAAAUCGGUUUCAAGUCGUCCAUGGUGGACAAAUUCGACCCGACCCAUUAAGUAGUGGUUUCUUUACGAGUCGGAAUUGAGAUAUUUUAAAGACUAAAUUUUACUUCCAGAAAACAAGAUGCCACUAUACAUGUGAAAGAAACCCUUCCUUGUUUGACUUGCUAAGCCAUUUCUAUUCAUGUUGCAUGUUAGCUACACUUCUCAAUCACUUGGUGACAAAAAGCUCCAAACACACACACAAAAAAAAAGAAAAAAGAAAAAAAAGGCUUUUUCAAUUUUUCCAAGCCUGAAUUAAAUUGAUUUAUUUAUUUAUUUUGGGUGAAAGAAUCAUUUGCAUUUAAGGAUAUUUCAUUCCCACAACUUGUGCAAAGAGAAGUUUCAAAUUUAGAAUGUCUUUUUCAAUCAACCUCUUUCGUGUUUGCAUUUAAUUUAAGGAUGAUGGAGAGAUAUAAACAUUAAAUCUGGUCACUUUUGAUAAAACUAUCUAGAUUCAUUGCACGUGAUCUAUACAUAGUAAAUAUAGAAUUGUUAAUAUCAUUCUUUUUUAUUUGAAAAUAGUUAAAUUUUAACAUUUUUGUAGUAUGAUGAAUCAGAUUCGCGUGUGGUGCUUGUGUUCAAUGCUCACAUCAAAAAUUACCGUAUAUUUUCAAAAUUAAAAUCCUUUUCAAUCGCGUCGUGUCGAAUCAGUGUACUAUAGACAAGUUUGUGUUCUGUUGAUUUUAGAUAUAUCUCAGUAAUUUUACAAAUUUGUGACUUCUCAUUUCUCAAUAUAAGAAUAGGGUACUAUCUAUUUUGAAAAUUUUAAAUAAAAAAAAGAGGAGAUGUUUAGAUUUUUUUAAAGUCGAUAAACAUACAAAAAAAGAAAAAGAAAAGUUGAGGACACGGAAAGUUCGGCGACAAGAUAGCAUGUUCAGUCAACGUUACCAAAUCCACGGAGGACGCAAAAAAAAAAUAAUUUUAAGCAUUUAUUUUUCUCAGCAUUAAUACUACCAAAAUCAAUACCACACCAAACAAGACCUGUUGUUUAAAUGAUGUUAAAUUAUUAAAUUUUUUGGGGCCUACACUCAUUUUCGUGGAUAAGAUUUUUAUUUUUAUUUGUUUUUGAUUUGAGUCCAAGAACAAUUGGCAUUACUUUCAAUCACUUGCAUUAGUUGAUUCAGGUUGAUUUCGAUUGCCGACGAUUUAGUUUCUAUGUUUAAUCCCUACUCUAAUUGAGUGAACACUAACCACCACAACGACGAUGACGACGACAAUGGUGAUUCGCAUUAUCAUCAUGGAGUUUAGUUGGUAACAUAUAUGCGAGAGACGACGGUAUGGCACUAAACAUAAAGUAGCAAAACAUCAAACAGAAAUAUGCUGGAGACAUUCAGAACUCUGAUGUAAAAGUGCAGAAACAGAAGAUUGCAGAAAGACUAAUAAGAGAAGACUAGACUUACAGAACUACUGUUGCAGCAGGAGCGUGUAUCAAUUUUCACAAAUCUGCAGACAGUUGCUUCUUGUGCUUUGUGAUCUUCGCCUGCAGCUUCUCGAGCUUCUCGCUCACGCUCUUCUGCUGCUGCUCACUCACUGAGAGCGCCGGCUCCUGCGCGCUGCACAUCUGUGACUUGAUCCUCAGAAGAUGCAGCUUCUUAGGGACUUCCUUCCACCCGCCGCUCUUUCCGCGGCCCAGCUUCUCGAUCUCUUGCUUCAUGUUCGAGCACUCCUUUUCGAGCUCGGAAACCCUCAUCCUCAUAUUGUCCAUGCCCACUCUCAAUACUUGGUUCUCCUGAACAGCCGACACCCACCCUCCUGUUGCUUAUAGAGGAUUAAAAGGACCAUUCGCUAUUAAGUUAAGCUUCUAGUAGAACUAAACAGAUUUACGUAAAAAUUGUCGUUCCGUACCUGCGCCAGCCUCCCCAGAGCACGGUAUGCCGCUCCUCAAGGGCCUCGAGCCGUCGAGAUUAUCUGAAACAAGCAAGCAUCCCGCGAUUGAGGUCCUUAGUUGAAGUUGCUCGAAGAAGAGGACUUGAACUACUAUGCGGAGCGGGAGUCUCUCGUUUUGAGCCGCGUGAGUGCAGGCUUCUAGAGAGAGCUUUUGAGAGUCCAUUAGCCGGCACAGCUGCUCUCUCUCGGAUUCCGUGAGCCACGAGUGCGACUGUAACAGUUCAGAGAUAGUCAAUGCAUGAUAGUUCGGUAAACCUACUUGAAAUUUCACUAUUAGUUACGCAAUGCAAUGCGAUUAGAAAUCUUAGACAGGAUGCACAACUAGUAAGAGAACUACAAUUAUAAUUUCCAAGAAUUAGAACUGCUUCGAUGACAAUAAAAAAAUCAGCUUUUAUAAAGUAGAUGCUGAAAAAAAAACAACGAGUUGCUCGGAAAAGUACCUUCAAGUAUAUAUCAAUUGCACGAUAGAGUCCGUCGUCCAGAGGCCGGGCGUAAUCAGGCACUGCGAUGGCCAAAGCUUCAAAUUUUGGUAAUUUCAGAUUCACAUCAGGUGCGACUUCCGCAAGGUAACCGUCUAUUAACUUCGCUACGGCGGUAAUCGGAGCCAACGAAGGCGACCCCAUUAACUGCUCAUCAUCGAUCAAACUAGGUGAUGCAUCCCCGUUAUUAGCCUGAUCCAUGGCUAUGAAAUGCUCUAGAAUUCUUUGAACGCAAUCAACAUUAUAAAGCGUCUCCAUCGAGUAAGAAAAAUUUGGCAGUAAUAAAUCUUCCAAUGUAGCCUGGUCAAGUUGCAUUCCGAUCCUUUUCUCCAAUUUGGAGAUACAAGACUUGUUCGCCUUCAAAAUCAUCGCUGUUCGAAGAAGCCCAAAUAGAACCUUCGUUGGUACGAUACCCUUUUGGAACGGCAACAAACUCUCAAUAUCUUCGAGCAGCUGCCUCUGUUCUUCUUCGGUUGGUGCGGCUCUCAAAGCUGCCGAUGCAAUAUUUUGGCGCCUACUUAAUCCGGGAAGAUACUUCUUCGCGUAAGAUGUGAGCGAGCCCGCGAUGAUCUCCGAUCUAGUGCCCCGAGAUUCCAUUACUGUGAUUAGCCUUUUAUAUAUUGGAAAGCUUAAGGACGAGACAUCCUCGUACCACCAAUCCGAAUUACAGUUUCUCGGCCGGGCCCCUGUGCUUAUGCCGUUCCAGAGAACGCUCCCUCCGGGGCUUUGCAUCGGCCCAUGUUCUAUCAUAGGCCAGCCGAAGAGGUUUGGAUCUGUAGAAGCUUUAACAGCCAAUGAUUCGAUGCAUCUCUUAACGAUGUGCGACUUUUCGGCGUGAGGGAGGAUAUCUUCGCAAGCUUGUAGUGCUUGUAGCGAGUCUUUCCAGCUUUUGAGGACUACUUGGUUGAGGAAAAUCUCAGCUUGCGUAAUCAAGUUGCCCUCGGCAAUUUCUUCGGUCAUCUGAAGAUGCUCUGCCGCACAUCGCAGGUACACAACAUUUGAGGCAGUGAGUUCUAGCUUUACGCCGUAGCAGAACUUGGCCACGAGCUCGAACGACUUCGCGCCACCCGGAACGUCCGGCAGCUUUAUGAUGCAAGCCUCUUCUUCUUCAGAAUUCUCGUCGAUUAGUUUUUCGAGGAGGCCGCUCUUGGAUAGGAGAGGAAACUGCAGAAGUUUCGAUUAACAUUCAGAAGUUUAUCAGACCAAAUGCAACUGACCAACCUCCAAACAAGGUUAACAUGAUUUCUUUGUUAAUCAUCAGCAACACUACCCGCGGAUUAAUAAUCAAAAGAGAGUAAAAUAAAACAAUUUGAAUUGUGAUUGUAAGAACUAUCACCUUGUGAAGGUGGAAUGACAUGUCGCCAACUUCAACGGUAACAUCACUAGGAAGCCCGGUCGUGCAGAACCUACAAAGUUCAGGAAAAAGCACAAAUUCCGCAUGUAAAAAAGAUGGUUAGAGCGCUCUCGUUGAUCAACAAAGAAAUAAAGGGAACAGACGACUUGUUCGAGGGGCUGGAUACAGCAUUUCAGCGAUCCGAUUUCACAAAUCAACAACAUAAGCAUAUACAACCACUCAUUCGAUGAACUUCGGUAUGUUCAUUCUGGCUUUUCAUGCCGAUCCACUACCACAAGAGAAACUAAUAUUUCUACUUAUUUGUUGUACAAAUUUAUGAGCCUUCAGGAAUGAAAAACAUUGGGCUCAUAGACUUCAAAAAGAUCUGUCAUGUUAACAAAUUCGACGCUUCCUCAAGCAAGCAAACUAUGCAUGAUUUUGUAAACUGUUUGAAAGGUCUGAAACAUGUCAGAGAGGAAAAACAACAAGUAUAUAUGUUAGCAAACUUAUGUAGCUGUUGAUAAUUUCUAGUUUCAAGCAGAUAAAUCAAACCACAAGCACAAAGAUGGAGACUACGUUAACAAAAUAGAGCCCAAAAAGGGGGAGAGAGAGAGAGAGAGAGAAUCAUACCAAGCUUGCCCUUGUCUUUGGAAGGAGUCAGAUUUUGAACCCAAUUUCAUACAUGCCAUCUUGUUUACAAAACUGGGAAGAGGAGAGGAAGGUAAAUCACAUCACACACAGAGCCCUACUGUAGCUUCCUGUUGAUCACCACUAAGAACACACAAAUGUUGGACUCAAAACUGCAAAUUAGCCUAAAAGCAGAACACCCACAACUCUAAAGAGAUCAAAGAUCAAGCCAAUAACCCAAAAAUCUACUUCUUGAAAAAGCCCCAGAAAAAAGAAAGAAAGAAAAAAAAAACAAAUAAACAACUGGAAAACAAGCUAUCAAAAAACAAAUCUUUUGGACCACUCUCAAGAAUUUAAUGGCCGGACAAAAGCACUUAAAAAAAACCCAAAUCUUGCAGAAAACAAACCCAUUAAUGCUCCUCCAAGCCCCAAAGGCUAAAACCUCAGAUCCAACCAAGAACAAAUCUUUAGACAAGUCCCCACAACUCCUAUACUAUCUUAAUCAAAAAAAAAAAAAAAAGAAAAAAAAAAGAAAGAAAGAAAGAAGAAACCCAACAAACAACUCAGAUGAGUUGGAUGGCAAAAUUGCAAAGAGAACCCUCCACCCAAAAAUGGGUAGUUUCUAUCCUGUCUUUUCCCCUCCCUCCCUCUUUCAUAACUCCUCUAAGAUGUAGCUUUUUUGGGGGACCAUUUUGCAUGCAACAACCCAUUAAUUUUUGCAGCAGUAAAAGGACAGCAGGGCAAUGCAGCAGCUGCUGGGAGGAGAAAGCCAAAAGGCAGGUUAAAAAGAGCUUCUGCUUCUCCAAUUUGUGCACAUUAAUGAGCAAUUAUUUCUAGAACUAUAAUAGGGUCUAGUGCACUGGGAUUCUCCUGUAGCUGCAGUAUUUUAAUGUGUUUAUUGCAGAAACCAGUUUUUUUUUGUUUUUUUCCUCUCUUAAUGUAAAAUUAUUAUAUUGGUGGGAAAUGAUGCACACAACUAAUCCCAUGUGGGUGGUGAGUCAUGAGUGAUGAGAGAGGAAGCUCAAAUUAAAAAAGAAAAAGAAAAAAAAGUCAAUGAAAUAAUGCUUCAACAAUGGUAGCAGAAGAAGAGACCAUGUGAGUCUUGCACACAGUGAGAGUUUAUAUUGUUGGAGUUGUUUCUAAUUUUGCUACUAGAGUCUUCAGACUUAAAAUCUGGGACACCAAUAAUCAUAUUUUUAGGCAACCGUCUUAGACAUAAUUGAUAUGUUGAUUUAUAUAUAAUAUAUAUUUUUUUAUUAAUUUAUACAUAUAUUUAAACACAUGGAUCCUGUUAAUGUCCUGUUUGGAUAUCGAAAUAAGAUAUUUAAUAAUAAUUUAUUCAGUAUGAAAAGUAUUUAUGUAUGAUUGGAAGUCAAAACUUUAAUUUUUAUUUCUUAAAAAUCCUUAUAAUUUGAUAUGAUAGCUAUUUUAAUUAUGAGAUGGUUUAUCAUAUUUCAUAAAUCCUGCGAAAUGAUGAGUCUUAAUCCAAAAAUAUGACCUUAACCUCUAGCUUAUAAUUUAAAAACCAAAUGUAUAUAUUUUAUUAUACAUUUAGUUGUCUUUUUCACCUAACUGUUACAAAAACUUUUAAUAAAUUUUAAAAGUAUUGAACAAGAUAAACAAUGCAUGCGAUCUGCUUGAUUUUUUUUUAGAAUAAAUUUAGCUAGAAUUGUAAAGCAAUUAAGUUUUCAACUUAGAAGCUAGGAGCCUAGCUCCUAGGUUGAACAAGAUAAACAUUGAAUGCAAUCCGCUUAGUUUUUUUUAAAAAAUAAAUUUAAUUAAAAAUAUAAAAUAAUUAGGUUUCGAAUUUAAAACUUUAUUCACCAACCAUCAAGCUUUUGGCAACAUACGCUAGAGACGACCGGUGUGAUAAACGUGCACUCUUAUAAGAUCAUUGUAUUAUUUUUUGCUUCAUUAUUUAUUUUUUCAAAAAAUAAGUUUAAUUAAAAAUAUAAAAUAACUAUACUUCAAACUUAAAAUUUUAUAUAUCAAUUAACAAAUUUUAGAUGUGGACAAAAAUUUUAUGGGCAUAGUUUUCAAACUAAUUAGUUUGAGGAUUAUGCGGAUCGGUGCGACGUGGCCAAUCCGACGGUCAUGGAUGGAAAGAAAAAAAACCCUGUAUUUUUAGAGAGAGAGAAAGAAAAAGCAAUUGAAAAAGGCACCCGUCGGAUUGGCCACGUGGCGCCGAUUUGCAUAGUCCCGGAACUAAUUAGUUUUAUGCACCGUUUGGUUCGGAUAUAAGGAAGAACUAGUUAUUAUAGGGAUAGGUACAAAUAUGGGGAUAAAAAAAAUAAUGUUUGGAUGAAAAAAUUGGAUUGUUGCACGGGGAUAAAAAAAAAUAGCGUUUGGAUAGAUAAUAUGGAAUAAGAAAAGUAGUGAAUAGUUAUAUAUAAAAAAUAAAGGUGUUGGUGGAAAUAAUUAUAACAGCUUAUUUCAGGUAUCUGAAAAUUAUUAUUUUUGGAUAAAAAAAUUAGCGUUUGAAUAUAAAGAAAGGGAUAAGGGUUAUUCCAUUCCUUAUUCCCACUCCAAAUCCUUAUUCCCAAUCCAAACGGGCUUAGAGACUAUGCCCCUAAAAUUUUUGUCCCGUUGGUGUAAUCUUUGUUUGCGCUCUCAAGUAUUAAUCAAUUCCUUUGCCGUUGGAUUGGGGGGGACGCGACGAUGGUCAACGCAUGCAUAGGGACGCUCAAAACGGACGACGCUGGCUUGCCUUUUAGUCCACGGUUUAUCCAACUCCGACGCGCCUCGGAGUGCGUGCUCAGUUUGCUACGUCGGCUGCUGCUGCGGCGGCGGCGGCGGCGACGGCCGUGGUGAUUAAAACUUUUCAGUUUUUACAACAAAUAUAUCAGCUGUUCAUAAGACCAGCAUCCGUGGGUAUCCGUGCAUGUUCGUGUUUCUGCUCGAUAUAUAAGAAAUGCCCCACUUACGAUCCAACGUAGCGUACCUUGUAUGUCGGCUCAAAGUUUGAUAGUCAACGUCUUAAAUUUAAAAAAAUUAGGCACAGAAUUCGAUACUGCAACCAGUAAGAUACUCUUUACAAGGACAAAUGUAUUUAUUGGAGUUUAGGUUUAUGUGGCGAUUAUUGAUUCUACCGUGUAAAUAUAGCAUCUUUAUAAUAUUGCACCGGUGAUCUCAUGGUUUAUUCAUCUGCAACAGAAUACAUCUAAAUUUGUACGAAAUGUGCGCCCAUGUAAAUAUUGGCCUGUAAGUUCAUUAUACUUAUACUUAUACUGUAGAUGACAUUUUUUGUUCUAGAAAAGUUACUCUAUAUUUUUUUUUUUGUGAAAGAUACUUAGUUGAAAAUAUGAAUCAACUUAGAUUUGAAUUUGAGAUCUCGAAUACUAACCAUCAGGUGUUUUGAGAGAGGAAUAGAAAGAUUGCGAGGAGAUUGUGACAUGUCAAAAGAAAAAAAUAGAGUAGAUGUUAAAGAAGGUAAUGCAAACGGUGGGGGCCUGAAAUAAAUGCGGAGACAUGGAAAAUUAAUAAAGCAUAGUAUCCGUGAGAAAAGAACAAACUGUCCUCUACAGUACUAUCUGAAUGUCGAGCACAUAAUGUUCUCUUCUUUUAAUUCCUAAACAUAUAAACUCACAUAACAAAUAUUCCUUAAUUAAUCUUAGAGAUCUAUGUUGAGGAGAUAAUAAAGCCAAAUAAUGAGUAACAAAAUGAACAAGGAUGCUGGAGCUGGGGCUACAUUAAUUCCAUGUCACAUGGUAACUUGAUCUUAACCCCGCUCCAUUGCUGAAUUUACGGCAACACGAAUGAGCUUGUGAAAUGGCUCAGAUCCUACCCAAAACAUAAAAGCAAUAAAUAUGGAUGAAGUACCGACCGUCCUUAGAGCAAGUGGCAAAGGGCUUGCUGGUUGGUACCCGAGACCCAAAUUCGAAUCUUAGUUGAUUCACAUUUCCAGCUAAGUUUAUUUCUAAAUAAAAUAAACGAAGCGGGUAACGUGCUACCUAUCUCUAAAAAAAAAAAUAUAUAUGUAUGAAGUGGUGGACAAUUUUUUUUUUUUUUUUUUUUUUUUGGGUGAACUAUAAAAAAUAAAAAUCCAGCAUUUUAGCCGAUGUCUCUAUUAACAUUCUAAAUAAAAAUACACAGUAAUUUUGGUCCCAAAUCUAUUGGACCGGAAAUGAGAUAUUUUCUUAUCUUACUCGUGGAAGGAAGCUCCAAAACACUUAUUUAUUUAUUUUUUUUAAAGCAGGUGAGUUUAACCAUCACAUUUUAGAAUUAAGCUUCAAUAUAACCAACUUUAUUUCUCUUCUUGUUUCAGUGAAGUUGUGCACUUUAAGUUCAAUAAUUAUUCUAAAUUCUCGGGUGUUACUUUUUAGGGGCAAUUACUUAUAUACCCCUAAAAAAUUUCUGACCUUCUGAUUUAUCCAUCUUAGAAGCUUAAUAUUAAAAAUAUUCUUUUUACGUUCUAACAUAUUUCAAAUAUAUUUCUAGAGUUAAAAUCUGUUAAUUAACCCUGUUAUCUGUAUAAAAUUACUAUUUUGCCAUUUCAAAUAUACUCUUCCACCACACCGACUUUUCUUAUUUGCUCUUAAAGUCAGGGGCACAAAAAGUAUUUUGACUUUUGGUCUUUUCAAAUAUACCUCUUUAUCGUCACCAACAUUUCUUAUUUACCCUUAAGUUAAGAACAAAAUUGGCAUUUUAAUUUUUUUUUUUAACUGUGGUAGAUAUUUAACUCACGUUUAACCCAAAUUAACUUAACAACUGAGAUACUUUAGAAAAAAAAAAAAAGUAGAGAUAAAUCGGAUAUUUUCAAACAUAUGAGGGAUAUAUAAACACUUAUCCCUACUUUUUAAGUAAUAAGAGAAAACUAUGGGUUGGGCCCAAGUUGGGCCUUGAGCCGAGUCCCUAUUUUUAACCCAUGGGCUCUAGAUGGGCUUGUGAUCUCUUCUUUUAUCUCUUUUCAUAUACAGUCAAAUAAAAUAACAAACCACCGACAUUCUAGUUGGUAAAACAUGAGCUAAAUUUAGAAGAAUUUCUAGUUUGAAAUUGAGGCGGGAGAACUGCAGAACAGAAGAAGUUUACGCAUGCACGUAAGGCUCAAAAAAUCUGUAUCUACUAUUACUACAAGCAUUAUAGUGAGUGAGUGUACUUUUCUACUAAUCUAUAGUCUUUUUUCUUUUUUUUUUUAAAAAAAAAAGAGAAAAAAUUUCUCCUAAGCCCCAAAGCUUCACAACCAAAUCUUAUCCAACUGGCACAAGCUAACCAGGUUCUGCCACGUCGGCACGAAGGAUCUAAAAUGUUAUCCACGGGCACCCUCAAAGACCUCAUGCCAUAUAUGUUAAUAUGUGGCUUAGAUUCUACAAUCUUACUCUAGCAAGCUUUUAAAGUCUCUCUUUUUCCCUACACAUGCACUCUUGCUAUCACCAUACAUAGAAAAAACAAAGAGGAGGAAGAAGCAGCAGCAGAGGAGAAAGAAGAAGAAAGAAGAAGAGACGCCAUGGCUUGCAAGCUCGCCUCCUCCGCGGCGGUCGUGAGCUCCGUGCCGCAAUUCUGCGGCCUCAAGAGCCAAGCUCCGUCCAUGGCAAGUUACCGAAUCAUUAUCGUAAAUAUGGAAUGAUCAGUUAGUAAUAAAUUAUAUAUAUAUUUCAUUUUUUGUAUAAUUUUUUUUUAAAAAAAUUAUCUGCAGGUGGUGAUGUUGCCCGCGGUGAGGCGGAGGGGGAGAGGAGCCUUGGGGGCUCGCUGCGGCUUCAUCGGUUCUCCGACCAACCUUGUAACUACUUCAAGCUUUUUUUGAUACGCAAUCAAAAUACAAAAUUAUUAAUAAUAAAGAGAUGAUUCUCUACCUUAUAUGCACAUUGAGCAUGAGUGAUCGUUUCGUAACGGUUUUACAUAAAGAAAAUUUAUUUACGUGUCUUUCGUAAAUAUCGAGAAUUACUGGUUGACAGAUAAUGAUAACCACCACGAGCUUGAUGCUGUUCGCCGGGCGGUUCGGCCUGGCGCCGUCGGCCAACCGGAAGGCGACGGCCGGGCUGAAGCUCGAGGUGCGCGACUCCGGGCUGCAGACGGGCGACCCGGCGGGGUUCACCCUGGCCGACACAUUGGCCUGCGGCACCGUGGGCCACAUCAUGGGGGUCGGAAUUGUGUUGGGCCUCAAGAACCUGGGCAUAAUACCAUAAAUUAACAACGAAUUGGGUUCUUCUGAUGCUCCAGUGUGUUUAUUUAUGCCUUUUUCUGCUAUAUUGUUGUUAAGGGUUGUACAUGGUGGUUUGGUUUACUUUUCUCUACUAAAGAGAUUUGCAAUUAUCCUUUCAAAUUUUAAGAAUGUAGAGGGAGAAAGUUCCAUAGUAGUGAUCUACUACUAUCUAACCUAAAUUAACAGCACUACUUUAGCUUCUUAAAUUUUAAAGUUAAAAAUAUCGUUGAUUAUUUCAAACAAAAUUAAAUAAUAAAAUUAAAAUUUUGACGGGCUUAAUUAUCGAUUUAUUUUUUAUGAUAGAAUUCUCGAUAUAUAAAAAAAAAAAUCUAAUUUUCUACUUUUCUACAUUAUUAUCAUCUCUAUGAAACUGUACAUAAAAUGUAUGACUAAAAAUAAAUAUCUUUUAAAAAAAUAAUAAUACAAUAUACAUUUAAUCUAGACUCUAGAUCUAAUUUUAAAUAAUUAAAAUAUUUCCUAAUAAAAAUUUUAACUAAUUUGGACACUUUCGAGUAAAGGCAUCAUAUUAACUAUUAAAAUUACAAAUUUUGUAACCCUUUAAGCAUUAUAUUAGUGACAUCGAAAGAGUAUAAAAUUUAAUUUUUAAAUAAUUUAAAUAGUUUAGAUCAGAACCAACGAUCGUCGAUUUGUAAAUUCUAUCAUAAAAAAUAAAUCGAUAGUACACCAAAUCACAUUUAUUAUAGAUAGUAGAAGUAGGACUUGCAUGCUAUUCAAAAUACAGAGGUCUUUGUGCACCUAAACUAUUUUCGAUAAUUAAACUUUUAAAUCGAUUUAUUAGUCCCGUUGAACUUUAUCCAUAGUAUUUGAACUAUCUAAAAAAUAAAAUUUUUAAUUUUUCAAUAACAUUUACUUAAUAAUCGAAAGAAUUAAAAAUAAAUGACUAACAAUAAAAAUCUCACAAAAAAUUAUAUAGUACUAAAAUUUUUUAUUAUAAAUAUUAAUCUGUUGUAGAUUUAAUAAAAAAUUUUCUAUUAGAAUUUCAUCCGAUUUAAAUACUUCUACAACGCCAAAGUUAUAAACAGCAUACAUCAACUAUUAAAAAUUAUUAAUUUUAACCUCUUUUGUUCAAUAAAUAAAUUAUAUCAAAAAAAUUACAAAAUUAAUUUUCUAUGAAAUUUAAACACGUUAGAUCAAGUCCACAUAAGCCUAUAGUCAAUUCAAAGUUUCAGCGUUGAAAACACGAAGGUCUCUGUGCUCCUAAUAGCGCACUAGUACUACACCGCAAUGUAUAUACGAACAACUAGUGAUAUACUCAUUUUAUUUCAAAAUUACAAAAAAAAAAAGAAAUUAGUAGAAAACUAUUUAUAAAAUUAUCUUAUUUGAAAAAAAUAAAAAAAAUUUAUACAUUCUUAUCAUUUCUAAAAGGUAAAAUGAAUAUCUGGGUAAGUUACUUGAUCAUACCAGGUAUUUUAUAUAAAUAAUCAUAGUUUUUGAGCAAGUGCUACAAUUAUAUAAAUUCAAAAGAGCAAAAUAGAGAUUUAAAAAAAAAAAAACCGAGACAAGGUUCAAAAUCAGUUAUUUAUACGAGGAUUUGGUGCAUUUUAGCCUUAAAAUAAACUUUAAAAAAAAUUGAGAUGUAAACAGGGAGUAAGUAACAAGAAGCUCAUAGAACAAGAGCGACCAGUGUCGCAAUUCCUGUUAUACCCUUCAAUAUCCGCCAUAAUUACGAGAUACCCAGCCACACUAUUACUAGGCUAAGCAUCAGAUACCUAAUGGCAUUUUCGUCAUUCAAUAAAUAAGGUGCAAUAAUCCCAAAAAAGUUUAGGGGAAAAAAAGAAGAAAAUUUAAUAAGGGGAAUUAAUACAAAUUAAUUUGUGCAAUCUCAGCCGAAAGAUGGUGAUAAUUUAGAAGAAAUAAUCACAUUUAUGGAUCAGCAAUUCUCUGCAAUUUCAUCACCGAUCGCACAAAAGUUCCCCAAAAAUACAAACGAAGAUUCAUCAAAUCGUAUGAUGAAAAUCACAAAAAAGACGAGAGCUUAUCGGAAAAUCGAGGGAAAACAAAAUGAAAUUAAACACUAAAAUUUGUGAAAAGGAGUCAGAUAGAAAUGUCGAUCACCAUUGAUCGUAGAAGGGAUCGUAAGCCUGGGGCGACAUUUAGCUCAUCAUCACGCUCCACGAAUCGAGGCCUCUGCAUCGAUUUGAUCGAAAUGGAUAAAAAAACAAUCGAAAUCGAGAGAAACGUAAUAUGGAGAGGGAAAUGGGAUCGAGAGAGGGGAGACGAAGAAGCUGAUGGAGGAGGUGAAAUUGGGGGCGGCGAUAUAUGAAAAGAGGGAUUAGGGUUUCCGCAUCUUUUUGUUUUAUAGCGGAGAAUGGGUCGGGUAAUUAAUGGGCCGCUAUACGGCCCAGUAGAAAGAGGCCCAUAUAACGUUUGGGCCUUUUUGAGGUGAGAGAUAAUUACUGGUUUUGGAUAAAAUUAUAGACACCCCAGAGUAGACCUACUAUACUCAUAAGUUGUUUUCGAUGAUGAAGUUUUCGAAUCGACGAUCCACUUUGUUAAAUAUGAUCUAAAGUAUUUAAAAUUUUUAAAAAAAUAAAUUUCAUAAUUUUUCGAAAUCAUAAUAAAGUCUGAACAGUCAAAAUCAAACGACGUUCUGAGAAUGAAUAAUCGGAUAUUUCAAUUUAAGAUCGGAGUUAUUGAUCUUUUAUCUGGAUAGUGAAUAUAAUUUUCUAUCAAAAAUUCAAUCUAUUUCAAUUCUUUUACACCGUUAAACUAGCAAAUAUUUUAUACCAGCCAUUAAAAAUUAUCAAUUUUGUGACUUUUUGAUCGUAUGGUAAAUGAUGUCAAAAAAUUAUGAAAUUUGAUUUUUAGAAAUUUUAAAUGCUCUAGAUAAUGUUUAACGAUCUGGAUUGUCGAUUUGGAAUCUCUAUCAUCGAAAACGACUUAUGAGUAAUUUUGAUAACCCUUGGACUUUUAUAAAUUUGAUUUAGCUCUUUUUGUUGGUAAUUUUGAAAAUUUUUUGAAUCAAAAGAAACGUGCACAAGAAACGCACGUAAUCAAGAGUUGCUUUAGUAAAGAAAGGGAGGUCACGUGCCAUCUCUCGUAAGUGUUUGAUUUUAACAAAAUUUUUAAAAUAGCUAACUGAAGAGACUAGAACAAACAAUUAGUGAGUAGAGGAUGCGCAAAUUAAACUUUUUUUAAAAAAAAGAUUAAGGAGUCAUUUUAAAUCUAUACAAUUUAACCAUUGGCUUUUUGAAAAAAUUAUUAUUAUUAUUAUUUUUUUGAGAAAUAUAAUAGCACGCUACACCCUUCGUUUAUUUUGUUUAGAAAUAAACUUAGUUGAAAAUGUGAAUCAACUAGGAUUUGAACUUGGGACCUCGAAUACCAACCAUCAAACCCUUUGCCACUUGCUCUAGAGGCGGUCGAUUGCUAUUUACUUCUAAGAGUUGAAAUUAGAGGGGUUUACAUUAUUAAAAUUCUCGUACAAAUCUAAAUUUGUGAUAUAUUUUUAAUAAAAAUGUCUAAAACUAGCUUCUUUUUUUUUUUCCCUUCAAAUAAAAAAGGAAAAAAAAUGUAGUGCGAGUUCGUUAAGGGUCGUCUGAACAAAGACAUCUAUAUAUGAUAAACUAAAUGUAGUGGUACAGUUUUUAAAUCAUAGAUAAGUACAAAGCAUAGAGCCAUCUAAUUGAUGCGCUAGGACGAAUUUGUAUUCAAAAUUUGAAUUUAUUAACAAAUUCCGUAUAUCCAAAUUCAAAAUUAUGCUUUUUCUUAAAGUACUAUGACAACAACCUAAUGCCCUGGAGGGCCCUCACCGUUCAUUUUAGUCAAACCUAAAUAUAACUAACAUUUUGAUAAUGUGGAGUACCACACUACCACAUAAAUUGAAGCACCCUUUACUAUAUCAAAGUUCUAAUUAAAAAAAAAAAUUUGUUUGAAAAAGAUGUGAUCGAAACCCACGUAUCGGUGCUAUUUUAAAGCGUAUAUGAAUUAGAAACUAAGAUAAAUAAUAAUCGAAACCGAAAAUUUGACGAAGCUUAGUACUUUAAAAGGAACAAUGCGUGUACAACAUUUGUGUAAAAGUUGUGACAAAUUACACAACAUGGAUGCUCAACCCCCUGGGACAUUGUAGUUUAUGAUUAAUAUAUAUAUAUACUUAAGUUGCAACAUUUUCCAAAUUUGAAGGGGUUUAUUUUUUAGUGCAAUAGAUGAUAUAUAUCUAACUAUGCACAACACAUCCAAUAUUCUAGUGUGGGUGAAGGGAACAAGACAAAAGAUGGUGGGUUUUGUUAAACCCUAUUAACNNNNNNNNNNNNNNNNNNNNNNNNNNNNNNNNNNNNNNNNNNNNNNNNNNNNNNNNNNNNNNNNNNNNNNNNNNNNNNNNNNNNNNNNNNNNNNNNNNNNCAAAAGAUAAAACUGUUGGAAAAUAGUUUGAUUUUGCAUAAAUAAAUUUAUAAAUUUAGUUCAAAUAAUUAAAAAUUUAAAAUUUAAAAAUUCAAUAAAAACUAAAAUUUUAAAAUUUCAAAAUUUUACAAAAUAAAAGUGAUAUUAAUUUCAAAACAUAAUCAAAAUUUAAAAAUUUAAAAAUUAAAAUUAAAGUUAAAUUUUAAAAUAAUAAAGUAUAAAGAAAAAUAAAUUAAUAAAUAAAAAUAAAAUAAAUUUAAAUUAAAAAAUAUAAAUUAAUAUGAUUAAAAUAUAAAAGUAAUAUUAAAAAUAUAAAUUAAAUUGAAAAUUUAAAUAAAAUUUAAAAAAUUUAAAAUGAAAUUUAAAUUUAAAAUUGAAUUUAAAUAUAUUACAAUAUUUAAAAUUUAAUCUUUUAAAAUUAUAUAUUGAAGAAUUUAAAUUUGAUUCUGUAAAUUAAAAUUUAAAUUAAAUUAAGAUUGAAAUUUAAAUUAAUUAAAAAAUUUAAAAUUAAAAUUGAAAAUAUAUUUUUAAAAAAAAUUAAAUUUAAAGUUAAAAUUGUAAAUUUGAAAAUGAAUUUGAUAAAUUAAAUAUUAAAAUUAAAUUUAAAUUAAACAUUUAUACUAAAAGAAAAUAAAAAAGACUAUCUUUGAGUCAGAAAUUAGAAUCAGUUCAAAAAGCAGACUUUUCAAAAUUCUGAUUCUUGGUCCUCAAAUCAGUUUCGAUUCUGAAAAGAAGAUAAUCAGAUUUAAAAUAAUUUGUAAACGCUCUAUUGGGCCGAAAAUCACUUUUCAACCCAAAGCGCUUUUAAAAGCUAGCUGAACAGCCCUAUAAGCUUAGUGGUGUUUGAAGUAAAAAAAACUGCCAUACAUAUAUAAGUUAAAAACAACUCUAAGUCCAAUAAAAAAAAUAGAUCGAGUCAUAACAAUCUUAAUUAAGGUUCGUAUAAUCAUUAUUUCUCUGGGUCAAUAAUUAUAAUAUAACAAAAGUCCAUUUAAAAAAUAGGAGCAGGUCCUUACGAAAGCCCAAAACAAAUAAAAAAAAAAAAAAAUGUAGUGGUACCUUACGAAAGCCCAACAAAUAAAAAUUAAAAAAAAAAUAAAAAUAAAAAAAAAGAAAAAAAGAUCUCUCUUCACCCCUCCCUUAUUUUUUCUCUUUUUCGUCCUGAUUUAGCCAUCCAUACAAUGCUUCGGGGAUAAAGGGAGGAAUCUAAUUCCUCCAGAUCUUUCGAACUCUCAUACCCGCCAUCGUAGUUGGUUGAAAGAUGAAUAUUGCGUCAUCUACAUUGCGCACCACUCCCAAACCAUCGCCGGUUGACUACGUCAAAAAUAGGGAGGAAUCUUGAUUCCCACUUUCUUCAAGACCUUCAUAUUCCUCAUCUUCGAAAAUGUCAAAUCAAAUCCGACGGCCGAACAGAUCCGUGCCACCGUCAACAACUUCGCUGAUGACAUCUACAGCAUCGUCGGUUUGAUACUUUCGAAAGAAGAAGGGAGGGGAAUCUUUGAUUCCCCGUUUCUUCGGACCCUUCAAUAUUUCUUCGAAAAUGUCAAAUCAAAUUCAACGGCCGAACAGAUCCGUGCCACCGUCAACAACUUCGCCGACAACAUCUACAGCAUCGCCGGGAAAGUAUCGCCAGAAGAGGGGAGGGGAAUCUUUGAUUUCCCGUUUCUUCGGACCCCAAAUCGAAUUGGAAAAUCAAAUCCAAAUUGGAAUCAAAACGGGAAUUUCUUCGGACCCCAAAUCUAAUGGCAAAAUCAAUAGGGGAUUUCUUCGGACCCCAAAUCAAAUUGCAAAUCAAGUCUAUACACGAACUUAAACUGCAAAUUAAGUUCAUAUGCGAACCCAAAUUGCAAAACCCAAAAUCAAAAUAAACCCAAAACCAAAAUAAACCGAAACCAAACCAAGUCCACAAAUAAAAUCCAAACCCAUUCCCCAAAUAAAACCAAAACCCAAACCCAAAUCAAACGCAAACCCAACCCAAAUCAAGUCCACAAAUAAAAUCCAAACCCAUUCCCCAAAUAAAACCAAAAACCCAAACCCAAAUCAAACGCAAACCCAACCCAAAUCAAGUCCACAAAUAAAAUCCAAACCCAUUCCCCAAAUAAACCUAAACCCAAACUCAAAUCAAACCAAAACCCAAACCCAAAUAAAAUCCAAACCCACUCCACACAUAAAACUAAAACCCAAACCCAAAUCAAAUCCAAACCAAACCAAACCUAGCCCACAAAUAAACCCACAAAUAAACUCAAACUCGAACCCAAAUAAAUCCAAACCCAAACCAAACCUAGUCCACAAAUAAACCCACAAAUAAAUCCAAACUUGAACCCAAAUAAACCCAAACCUAAAUCAAGUCAAGUUCAAACCCAAACAAAACCCAAAAAUCCAAAUAAAUCCAAACCAAACCAAGUCCACAUACAAAGCCAAACGGCCCAAACCUAACCAAACUAAGUCCAAAUAAACAUCCAACCCAAAACUAAAAUAAACCGAAACCAAACCAAGUCCACAUAAAGAACCCCAAACCCAUUCCAGAAUCAAAUCCAAACCCAAACCAAACCAAGUCCACAUAUAAAACCAAACCUCAUGGACCAAAUCCCAUGAACCAAAAUCAAAUCUCAUGGACCAAAUCUCAUGAACCAAAACCAAAUCUCAUGGACCAAAUCCUAUGAGCCAAAACCAAGUUCAUGGACCAAAUCUCAUGAACCAAAACCAAAUCUCAUGGACCAAAUCCUAUGAGCCAAAACCAAGCUCAUGGACCAAAUCCCAUGAACCAAAACCAAACCUCAUGGACCAAAUCCCAUGAACCAAAACCAAGUUCAUGGACCAAAUCCCAUGAACCAAAACCAAAUCUCAUGGACCAAAUCUCAUAAACCAAUACCCAUAGCCCAUAAACCAAUACCCAAAUCCCAUGAACCAAUACCCAGAUCUCAUACCCAUAUCUCAUGAACCAAUUAGACUCUAAUACAUAGAGUUUAAUAUCGAUCAGGUCUUAACACAUAUACUUAGGGCCUAAUCAACCUCAAAUCUAACUGAAUCCUAAUACAUAUACUUAGGAUUCAAUAAACUGAGACGCGAUUCAUCUCAUCCCAUCUAUAAAGGUCUCCUAAUCGAAGGUACCCCAAUCUACAGGGGGUAAUUAACAAUAGAUGCUUGCAUCUAUUGGAAGUCAUGGACCCGCAAAACCUGAUACACUUAUAUAUAUAAAUAUCAAUCUGAAUCAUGAAUACUACCCCACGGCCCCGAAAAUUUCAUCAACCGUGCGAGGUGCGUCAUUCGUGGUGGCAAACAGUGGGUAUCACUGGAAUGAACUGUGAGAAAUAUUAGUGGGGAGCAGUGGUUUUAAUUAUUGUUAUCAGAAAAUUCCAAGGAUGGGUUACAUAAAUUAUGAAGCAAUCACCAAAAAUAUUUUAGUUGAAUAUUUUAAGUGAUUGUAAUUUUGACGUGACCCUUUUUUUAAAAAAAUAGAAACCAAACAGUAAUGGACUCUUUUUAACUUUCUCGCAGUUUAACCUACCCAUGAUUAAUUUCUAAUAUAUUUUCCUGAUUGUAGCUAGCCUUAAUUACAAAUUACUAUCAAAACACAGAAUUAUUUUCUUCGAAUAAUGUUGUUUAACUUUGUGAAGUGUUUGUAAGUGUUUGGAAAUGGUUAAAAUAACUGUAUAAAAUAGAUGUGGAAAUAAUAUUUAACUUUGUGAAGUUACUAAUAAAAACCAUUUUAAUUUUCUCCCUUAAAAGUAUACAUUAACUGAACAUCACUCUUUUCCCCUGCUUUAAAAUAACUAAAUAUCACGACAAAGAAUAAAACUACAAAUGAAGUUAUAAAGAUAAAAAAAAAAAAAAACUGAACAUCACUCUUUUCCCCUGCUUUAAAAUAACUAAAUAUCACGACAAAGAAUAAAACUACAAAUGAAGUUAUAAAGAUAAAAAAAAAAAAAAACUGAACAUCACUCUUUUCCCCUGCUUUAAAAUAACUAAAUAUCACGACAAAGAAUAAAACUACAAAUGAAGUUAUAAAGAUAAAAAAAAAAAAAAACUGAACAUCACUCUUUUCCCCUGCUUUAAAAUAACUAAAUAUCACGACAAAGAAUAAAACUACAAAUGAAGUUAUAAAGAUAAAAAAAAAAAAAAACUGAACAUCACUCUUUUCCCCUGCUUUAAAAUAACUAAAUAUCACGACAAAGAAUAAAACUACAAAUGAAGUUAUAAAGAUAAAAAAAAAAAAAAACCAAUAAUAAUAACACUUUGAAAUAACAUUUUUUUUUUUUUUCGCUUUCUCUAUCUCUUCUCUCUUGUUUUCAAUGAAUCAUGCAUAGUGAAUUCUCAAUGAAUACAAAUCCCCGGAAGUCGCCAAGUGAACUCUCCCUUCAUCUUCUCCUCGAUCGGCAGCGCGGUAUAGUUUCUCCAGUCGUCGAGAAGCCCUCUAAGAUCAUGGAGCUUUGCGCCGAGACCGACGCAACAAUUCGCAUGCAAUGUGCAUAUCUUGCUCAGAUCCUUGUUAAGAUUACAAAAUCCUCCGCAUACAGCAGUGUCUAUGAAUUGUAUUUUCACUCCGUAUUUCGCCGAAAAUUCGUGCUUGAUCUGGUUAAACACCCACUGCUCAUGUGCACCAGUCCAAUUCACCCUUGCAAGGUACCAAUUUUGGUAGAAAUCGAUUGUCCUUUGACAUGAUUUCACAUAGAGGAAUCCUCCAUUAGGGAAGUUGUUAAGAUCGUCGGGAUUUCCGUAAUACGCAUCGCUCGAAAUCGUUAUGUGCGCGAAUAACGAGAUGUGGCGCAAGGGGUUUCGGAACCAUAGGAUAUCCACAUCCUGCGAAAUAGAUUUGAUCUUAGCAAAGAAGUUCAGAAACAAAAUAAAAAAGUUUCAAAUUAGAUCUUCUACUUACGGGAUCUGAAACGUACCGUGAAAAGAAAAUUGUAUCUCAACUCAAGAAUCUUUUGCUGGAGCCUGUUCCUGCUCCACAUCAUCUCAAGAUAAUCUUUGGUCAUGAACAGCUUCUCCUCAGCCGAGCUAGUGUUGCUCACUUUGUAGAAAUAGCAAAAUGGGUGCAAGGAUUUGCACCUUUCAUAUGCUUUUAGAUCAAUAGCCACAAUGACAAGAUGGUUUAGCAGGUACUCAAUGUCCUCGCCGGCGCGAAAGCUCUCGAAGAAGAGGUCGAGGAGGGAGUCCGGCGCCGCCCACGCCUCGUUGAUCCAUGUCAUUAUCACCGUGUCGUUGUCCAUCGCCGCGGCUUUUAGUAGAUCCGAUAAAUCUUCGAAUUUCUCUUUCUGCUCAGCGCAAAAAAUAAGAAAAAAAAAUUGUACACUUUGAAUUGUUAAAAAAAAAAGAUUCUUUCCUACAUUGUUUUCUAAUAUUCUAAUAUAGAUCUUAUUACAACUUUAAGUGGUGUUUAAAGAGUAAUUAAAACCUAUGAUUACACAACACUUAUAUAUAUGUACCUCUUUAACAGAAGCUGUGUUAGCUUUACUUGUAUCUUGUAAUGAAGUGAUCUGAGUUCCAUUGGUCGAAUCCAACAUCUCCAUUGAACUAGAACUCGUUGUUGGGUUCGAAGAGAGGUAGAAUAUUAUGAACACGACGGCCGCGGCUGCGCCGAGGAGUAGAGAAGUGAGAGGUUGGAGGAGGUUGUUGUUGUUCUUGUUACUCAUGGUCAUCUUUGUUACAUACACAAAAAAGAGAAAGAGUGGGGGGAAUUGAGAGGUAUUUUAUAAGGUAAUGGAGUUUUUAUUUUGUUUAAUUUUUUGUUUUUGGUCAUGAAAUUAAUGGUGGUGAUUAAUUAAGAAAAUUAACCACCAAGUUAGUCCACUAAUCCCAUGUGGGUGUUGGUUGGGGGCGUAAUAAGUUGCUUAAAUUGUCAACUCUAUGGUUUAUUACAAGAGCACUAAAAUUACUGAACAUGUUCAUGAGAUAUUAAUUAAACUACUUGGUUUAUUCCAAAAGUAGGGCAAAUAGAAUGUAUGAUUAUUUUGGCUCAGUAAAAGUAAAUUGCUCUUUAAUCUUUUUUUAAAAAAAACUUAAACUGAUUGGUGGAAAAUUAUUUUUAUUAUAGAUGGAGAAUUUUAUUUUCAUUAUAUGUAGAUCAGAGUUCUAAUAUAUAUAUCAAACUAAUAUUCCAGUAACGUAUAUAAUGAUAAACAAAUUUUUUUUUAAAAAAGAAGGAAAAACAAAUUGAAUUAUCAGAUUCUCCAAUGGUAUGUGAUAACAAAUAACAAUUACUGGGUAUAGUAAAUAAAUUUUUUGUAUUCUAAUUAUAUAAAAUAAUUUAAUUAAGUCUCUGAUUCCCAGUUGUUUAAUUGUUGCAUCCCAUAACUCUGAGCCAACAACGUGCGAGGCAUCUAGCAAUUAAUCUAAUAUUUAUUUAUAAAAAAUUAUUUUAUUUACUUUUUUUAAUUUAAAAAAUUAAACACUUGUAAAUGACAUGAACAUGCCUUGGAAUUAAUACAUAGUAGAGAAAGAAAAGGGGGAGGGUGAAUUAAUUAUUUUUUGCUUCUCAUUAAUUUUACUUAAUUAUUUUAUUGUAACUGUGUGAGAGGUGAUAUUUAGAUCCUGUAUAGUGAUGUGAUGUGUCAACUGCUUUAUUUUACAUCAAAUAUUUAAGAAGCAUUUGUAGCUUCAGAUAAAAAAUUAUAUUUUUGUAAUAUAUAUAUUUAUUAAAUCAUAUCACAUAUUAUGUGCACAUGUUAGUGAACUAUGAGUAUGUUUGACCACACCUUAAUUUGGGAAAUUUUUUUUUAAAAAAACUUAUUUCUUCAUAUGUAAUCAGAAAUUUAAUAUACAUCAUCAUCCUCUAGCAGCUUAUAUAUUUAGCAAUAUACUACUUGUUAGUUAAUUUCACAAGAAAUUUGAUACUUCUAUAGAAUAUUUAGAGAUAACAACUUAAAAAAAUUUGAUAUCUCACCUUAAACAUCUACUUAGCUUGAUAAAAUGAUUUACAAUUACAUUGUGAAUGAACUGGGUAAGUUCCAAGUUUUGUUAGAAGAAUUUUUAUUCCUUACUCUUCUCCACAUGUAGUCAUGUAGAUGAUUUUGACCCAAACCAAAAUAUUUAAUCAAGCAUGAGAUUUUUUAUGCAAGUUGGUCUCAUUGUAGUGACAUUUACCUUCCAACUACAGCUACAGCACUCCUAUAUAUUCUUCCAAAGUAGAGAAUGCACAAUAAAUUAACAACUACUGGCCUAGUCAAGUGAGUAUUACUCGGAUUGUCGUUCUCGAGGUUCAGGUUCGAUUCCUACUUAUACUUUCACAAAAUAGAGGCUUGUGCCUAUGAACAUGAUUGCAUUGAGAAGUUUUUGAAUGAGAUCUUGUUGAAAUAGUUUGGUGAGUUGUAUGAUUUAUCCUACAAUCAGUUCUGAUCCGAAAGUUUUCCACAAAAUUCAACAUUGUAUCGGAAUUUGGAGAAUUAGGGGCUCAUCACUUAAGUUUUUCUUUCUGAGAAGUUUUUGAGAAGUUUUUGAAUGAGAUCUUAUUGAAAUAGUUUGAUGAGUUGUAUGAUUUAUCCUGCAAUCUGUUCUGGUUCGAAAGUUUUUCACAAAAUUCAACACCGUAUCGAAAUUUCGAUGGUAGAUUUAGAGGAGGCCAAAUAUGGGAGAAUUAAUUAAUUAGGGGCUCAUCACUUGAGUUUUUCCUUGUGCCCUGAGCUUCUUAAUAUUUAUAAAAUUGAACAUUAUAUUCAAGGAUAAUAUUUCAUUUCUUACAAGUCGAAUUUCAACACACCUCUUAUCAACAAUGCACAAAGAAAUUUAUUCCUCCUAAAAAGAAAACAAAUCAAUUUCAACUAUUGUUUUCUCUUUUUUUGUGUUUUUUAAUGUUUGAUAAUAAUUGUUGGCAACCCUAGCUAGUAACAAGUUCACAGUGUAACAUAUUCUCAGUGAAGACAUAUACCAGCUCUCCAAGUAAAUUGCCCCCUCCUCUUCUCCUCAUCAGUAGUUAAAGCUUUGUACACCUUCCAAUCAUCAAGAACACUUCGCAAAUCGUGAAGCUUCGCUUGGAGACCGACGCAGCAAUUCGCGUGCAUGGUGUAGAUCGUGUCGAGGCCUUUCGUGUGGUUGCAGAAUCCGCCGAAAUUGGCUGGAUCCAAAUACUGUAUGUUCACUCGGAAUCGGUCUGCUAGUUCGAACUUGAUCUGGUUGAACACGAAUUGCUCGUGGUUGCCGGGAAACUUCUCUCUCGAUUCGUGCCAGUACUCGAACAGUUCGAUGUUCUUUUUGUAGGACUUUACGAAUAGAAAUCCAGUAUUGGGGAAGUUUAUUGGACUGUUGGGAUCACCGAAGUAGAAAUCGCAUGAGGUCGAUAUGUGCGCAGCAGCAGACAUCUUCUCAAAAGGAUUUCGAAGCCAUACGAUGUCUACAUCCUGUCACCAUGAUUGAUGAUCAUGCUAGAAAAAAUUAAUGUGAUCUAUAAUUAAUUAAUAACAUAAUUAUGCAUCCCUACAGAGGCUAAAAGAUCUUUGAUUUUAACCUUUAUAUAUAUAUAUAUAGAGCAGGGCUGCUGUGCUCUCAGGAGCACGGAGGCCUCCGUGCUCCUGAGCCGUUUUCGAUGAUGGAAUUUUCGAAUCGACGAUCGGCUCCGUUAGACUUGAUCUAGCGCAUUUGAAGUUUCUAGAAAAUAAUUUUUGCGAUUUUUCGAUAUCAUUUACCUAGUGAUCGAAAGGAUUCAAAAUCUAUAAUUUUUAAUAGUUGAUAUCUGCCAUUUUCAAGUUUAACGGUGUAGAAGUAUUCAAAUCAGAUGAAAUUUUGAUAGAAAAUUCUUUAUACUAUCUACAACAAGAUCUAUAUUUCUGAUCGAAAAUUUUAGUGCUAUAUCACCACUUUUUAUAGGAUUUUUAUUUUCAGCCGUUAAAAAUUAUUGAUUUUGAAUCCUUUCGAUUGUUAGGUAAAUGAUAUCGAAAAAUCGCAAAAAUUAUUUUCUAGAAACUUUAAAUACGCUAGAUCAAGUUUAACGGAGCCGAUCGUCGAUUCGAAAACUCCAUCAUCGAAAACAGCUCAGGAGCACGAAGGCCUCCGUGCUCCUGAGAGCACAGCAGCCCUGCUCUAUAUAUAUAUAUUAGUAUACUUGGUAUAUUUCAAUGUAUCUCAACUGUAGAAGAUGUAUCCUAAUGCUCAAGAACAUGUGUACUUUUGCCUACAUGUAUUGUCAAAAUUUUUAAAGAUUUUUGUUUCAUAAAAUAAAUCCUAUCAUUCAAAAGUAUAUUUUGUCCACUUUUUUGGUUGAAAAAGUAAUUUUGAAUCUCCUGCAUUGUAGAUGAAAAAAGAAAAAUGUUGUUACUAUUUACAAGUAAAUAAAUUUGGGUUGAUGAACCAAAAUGCACGAUUUUUAUUUAGUCCUUGUUUGGCGUAGCUUUUGACGACCAAAACGCACGAUUUUUAUUUUUUUUCUCGGUUUGAAAAUGUACGGUACGUUUUUGAAAUCGGUGAAAAGUGAUAUAUAUUGGCCUAACAAGCUUAUAAUCUCGAAAAGGCCUACUGAAAUUUUAGGCAUUUAGUGAAGAAUAAUAAUACAAACCGUGAAAAGGAAGUUGUAUCCAAGCUCGAGUAUGUGUUGCUGUAGUUUGACUUUGCUCCAUACCAAAUCAAGGUAGUCCUUUGACAUGUACACUUUCUCCUCAUCAAACUUAGCACCUUCUACGUACAGGAAAUAGCAAUGAGAGUGUACAGCUUUGCACCUUUCGAAUGCCUUUUUAUCCAAUGUAACUACGAUUAGAUGAUUCAAAAGAUGCUCGAUGUUGUCGCCAAUCCGAAAGCUCUCAAGGAAGAGGUCGAGGAGAGAGUUUGGCGCUGCCCACGCUUUGUUCACCGAGGUGAUGAUCACGGUGCGAUCUUCGGUAGCCGCUCUUUGCAGAAGCUUGAGCAAGUCCUGGUUAUUUUCCUGCAAUUGGAACAAGUAGGAAUUUAGCUAGGAUAUAAUGGACCUGAUUAUUGUCACAUAUUAUAAGUUUUUAAAAAAUAAAAUAUUAGCAUUUCAGUUCUGAAGAUAUAUUUAAAAUCAGGGGCAAAAGUUUCAUACUAAUGUGUUAUUAGUAGUAAAGAAGUGUUAAUUUUACAUUUGAAUUUAUAACCUUUAAUUAAGCUACUUAAGUGGGACUGUUGAGAGACUAAAAUUUGGAAAAUUAACUCCCUUAAAAUUAAGUAUCAUGCAUGAUUUGUUCUCCUUUUACAUAAAAAAAAGUUAUAAUUCACAUUCUCCUUACGUUAAGGCGGUUAUAAAUUACGCAUUGCAUUCUCUAUUGCCUCGGUUAUAAAUUAUGCAAUGCUAGAAUUUUUCUACGCACGAAUAUACAUAAAAUGUGCCGAGCAAAUUAAUGGUACAAAGAGAAUGUACAAGCAAAUAAGGAUUGGCCAAUAAAGCCAGUAACUCUAUUAGCACAAAAUUAACAGUAUAUUAAUCUCUCACUUUGUACUAUGUAUUUGACUUUUCUUUUCUUUUCUUUUUUCUACGUACCGAUCGUUUGAAAUAAUCAAUGUACAUCCAAAGGCCUCUUUGAAAUUUGAUCUUAAUUAGCUUUAAUUUCGUUCUCAUAUAAUUUAAACUAUAACAAUUUGGUCCUUCUAAUUCAAGUUGUAAAACAGUGAAGCCCCUUUUGUAAUUCUACCAUAUCUCAAAAUGUUAUCACAUCAUAUUGUUAUUAUUGUUAAAUGUCACUUUUUCAAAAUUAAGACUCUAAAGGAUGAAGUAGAAAUUCAGAUGAACAAAAAGUGCAAUUAUGAGGAUAAUAUCAAAAUCAAUUCAAACUUUCUAAGGACGAAAUUAAAAUCCGGAUCGAAACUUGUUAGGGAGAGAUAUUAAUUAUGUCAUAUUGUUUCAUCUCAACAAAACUAAUAUUACUACAAGUUUAUAGAGAAAAGGUGCAAAUUUUGCUUCUUAGAAACUACACAAGGUGCAAAUAAAGGAAGUGCAUGUCACAUGCAUAUAUAUAAAUAAUUUACCUGUGCUAUUGGAGCCAACAACAUCUUUGUUUCAUUCUCUGAAGGAGUAGUGGUCUCUUCAAUGGAAACCACCUUUGUUUCAUUCUCUUGAGGAGGAGUUCCACUAGUAAUCUUUGUUGUGUUGAUCUCUUCAUUAGAGACCAUCUUUGUUUCAUUCUCUUCAAAAGGAGGAGGUGUCAACUUAUCAUUAGUUGUUGUUGUUGUUGUUGUAGUGAUCUCUUCAAUAGAAGCCAUGAGAGUUCCAAUAUUGUUGCCUUUUCUUGCAGAUAAUAUGAAGAGUAUGAAAGCUGUGGCAAGUGAUGCACCAACUAGGAAGGAAAUCACAGGUUGAAGGUUCUUGGUAUUGCUCAUCAUCUUUGAUACUCCAAGAGAGAGAGAGAGAGAGAGAGAGAGAGAGAGAGAGACUUGUAAUAUAAGAUUUGGAUCUUCAUAGCAUUAGAAAAGAAAUUAUGGAAGCCAUUUUAGACCCUCUACUUUCAUGACAUCACUGCUAAGACUUUGUCCGCUAAGCCAAUCGUAGACCAUCCUGUCGAUCUUUGUCCAUUCCAUUUUAAUUUUCAAUCCUAACUGCAAAACAAUUUCUGAAGAGAUUAUCUUUUUAACUCUAAGUAAAAUAUGCAGAUCGCAUGGUUAAUUAUUUUGAUAAAAUGGAUGGAGAUGCAUGCGCUGAGUGGUCUAUUGCUGACACGGUGGACAAUAUCCUAACAAUAACUUCUUCAACCGCGUCUUACUUAUUAAUAACUAAAUUUUUUUUAGAGUUGGGUGUGGUUAUAUAUUAUUACUAUUACAUUAAUGAAGAGUUCGAAUUGAAGAUGCAAGGGACUAAUUCAAAUAUCAUUUCAAGGGGACCCCAUUAUGUGAUCAUGUCAUCAUGUGGAUCCUACUAUUCAAAGUCAACUUCAUAUGGUUGGUAAGUGGUAACCCAAGAGAAUAUAUAUAUUUAUUCUCAUCUUCCAAAAAAUAACUAAGAGAGAUGCAAAAAAAGAGAAGAAUCAUCAAUGCUUCCAUGUAAGUCAAUUACUUGUGAUUGGUGCAUAUGAAUCUACAGUAGGAUUCAUAUACAUAUAUAUAUAAUAUACUAUAUAUAAUAAUCUACUUGUUUUCCCUUUGUUUUUUAUUUUUUAAAUACUUGAUGUUUCCCCAUGGAAAGCCCAUGUGGCUAACUCAUAUGAAAUCUUUAGUUCACACUACUUAAUCAUAGUUAUUUUAUAAUAUCUUAAAGUGUCCAAUAGGCCCACAAUUUUCUCAAAAUUUUGUGACUCCCUAGCUAACUAGAGGAAUAAUUAUUUUAUUAAGUACUUAAAAAAUCAUUUUUUCUAAUAAGAACAAUCAAAAGACACUCCACGUAUAGUUAUUAAUGCAUCGUGCACUCAAACUAUUAAUUGUCUCGUCGUAUUAUAAUAAUAUAAUAUAUAUACAGGCAUGUGAAUCUAGAGCAUACGAGAACAUGCUUUGCCCAUUUUUAUAACAUAAUUUGAAAUUGUUCACUCGCGCAACCCUAGUUUGAUAAUACGAUGGUUAAAAAUAUUCCUUUUAUCUUUUUAAACAAAAUUAAGUAGUUUUAAAGCAUUUUCAUUCUUUUUCUUUUUUUGCGCGGUCGUCAUCAUAAUUUUAUAGCAUUAAUAGUGGAAAAUGGUAGAAGCAAAAUUCAAACUGAACCUUAGACUCCGUGUAGAGAAGUGCACAUUAAUGAAACUAUGGGUUUAAGAGAAGUUUUUAACCGCUUGUUUUUAGCUCAAUGAAGACGGUAACGACUUUUUGAUAAAAAUCUUUUCAAAAGUUUUUUUCGUAGCAUAAACUAUCACUUCUCGUUUUGAGAAUUAGAAGCUCAUUUCGGCUUCUGGCUAUAAGAAAAAUCUAAAUUUUAGGAUUUAGAAGCUCUUUUUGUUUUUAGCUAUUGGGAUAUUUUUUGUUCUAGGAGUUUUUAGCCGUUGGAUGAAAGGAUAUGCAGUUAAGAUGAUAACGAUCUCCUAUGGUUAAAUAGGUGGUUAGUUAAAUAAUAUAAUAUAACGGAUGAAAAUGAUCAAAAGGUAGAUCUAACGGCAGAAAACUUAAUAGUACUAAUAGCUUGGUACUAUCGAUAGUAUAAUAGCCGAACUCUAUAUAUAUAUAAUUAUGCUACUAUACUAUUGAUAGUAUUAAGCGCUUGGUGCUAUCGAAUUUUUAGCUGUUAGAUAAAAGGAUAUGCAGUUAAGAUGAUAGUGAUCCUCUAAGGUUGAGUAGAUGGUUGGUUGGAUAGUAUAAUCUAAUGGGUGGAAAUGAUCAAAAGGUAAAUCUAACGGUAGAAAAUUCAAUAGUAUCAUGAGUUUGGUACUAUCGAUAGUAUAGUAGCCGGACUUUAUAUAUAUAUAUAUUAUAUUUAUAUAUAUAUAAAAGGAAUAUCAAAAAAAAAAAACCAAAAAAAAGGAAGUUUAGGGGUGUUCGUUAAAAAUGGAAAUCGUUGAGGGGUGUGGUUGUAAAUUUUCUGGGCUAAUGGGCUACUAUGAGCCCACUUUACAUUGGGCUAUACUUAAAACUACGGCCCAGAUCAACUUUUGCAUCCAACAAUUUUACUACAGAGGUGCGGCCCAUAAGCUUCUUUUGCGGUCCAUGACGUGGUGGCUUAAAUUGAGGCCCAUGACUAGAAAAAUUGCAUGGACCUGAUCUACCAUGGACCACACAUAAAAAACUCUACUCACAUUUAUCAAAUUUUAUCAAAUUUUUAAAAUCCUGUCGCUGUGUUCAACUUAGCGGGUUAUCGGAUUCAUUCCCACGUCACAUACUCGUAUGUUUAGGUAACGAAACCUCACCACACGAACGAACGCCUUGAAAUAACUCAGCGGUGUUGGUACGUGGGCCCCACCUCUCGUGUUCAUGCUGUUAUUUGGUAGUUCAACUUAUCGGUCCAAUUGUUAGGUCCCAAUUGAGAUUUGAAUUUGAAUACAACAUUAAACAAAGGUGUUUCUAUGGGGAUCGAAUAGCAUAUUUGAGAAAGUAGAAGGACCAUCCGUGAAAAUUGCCUUCUUCGUUCUGCGGCAUUUCCCCGAACUCAAAUAAAUGCACGCGGUGAACUCCCCGUGAGUCAUUUUGAAUCCAAAAACUAGGGCUCGCCGCGGCCCUCCAUUCCGUUCGGAUUCACCGCUAGGGUUUUGAAGAGAAACCCUAGCGCGAUCUAAAUCCAAUCCCAACCUCUCGAUCUCCAUCUCGAUCUCUUUCCAUGGCGGACGAAGCAGCGGCGGCAGCGGCGGCGGCGGCGGCGGCCGCGGGAGGAUCGUCUUCCUCGGCGGCGGCGGUGGUGGGGAUCACGGUAAUCCCGAUCGUGAACAAGCUCCAGGACAUCUUCGCGCAGCUGGGGAGCUCGUCGACGAUCGACCUACCCCAGGUGGCGGUGGUGGGGAGCCAGAGCAGCGGCAAGUCCAGUGUGCUCGAGGCGCUCGUCGGCCGCGACUUCCUCCCCCGUGGCUCCGACAUCUGCACGCGCCGCCCCCUCGUGCUCCAGCUCGUCCACUCCCCGCGGCGCCCCGAUGCUUCGGCCGGGGAGGGGGACGAGUGGGGGGAGUUCUUACAUAUCCCCGGAAGGAGGUUCUACGACUUCGGAGAGAUCCGCAGGGAGAUCCAGGUGAAUUUCUAGGCUUUGCGAAGGUUUUUUCGUCUAAUUUUCGUGAUGGAAAGGCCUUGUUAUCUCUCUCUGUUAAAUCACUCGCUCAUGGGAACCAAAAUGAAAAUGCUUUAUAUCGAUUAAAUACUGAAACAUGGUUGGGAUUUGUGCAGUUUUCAGUGAAAUAAUAUUCGCGGUCACUUGAUUUUUAUCGUUGCAAGGUAGUAGGAUCGAAUACAGCCCUUGCAUGAGUCCCACAUUGUAGAAAUGUAUAAUGUUGUUUUAGGCAAAAUGCUAUAUGCCACCCUCUUUAUUGCCCGAUUCUUCUAAUUUACAAUGUGAUAAUGACUUCUUGUUGCUGAACAUUAUUAAGAUUACGCAACUAGAUCCUUAUUCGUAGCACAUUUGACAAGCUACAUGAUUUUCACGUGCUUAAUUUCAAUGGCAUCAAACUAAGAGAGGUGAAAUGUUAGUUCGGACAAUCGGAAGUAAAGCUGAAUCAAACUUUGUGAUAGAAGUAUCUGAAUUUUUCCCCAAUUUUUGCUGACUGUAGAAGAGGAUUGUAGAAGCUUGUUUUCCUUGUGUUGAUAAGUAUUGACAGGUUGGUCCGUUACAUUACUAAAGAUCUUUCUUUUCCUGUGAUUUUAUGCUAUUGACUUUUUACUAGUAGGUGAACUUCUAUUUGAAAAAGCUCUUAUUUAGACGCUAUUCUGCAGUUGCCUGAUCAAAAUAUUUUUUUCAGAACUCUCAAAUUGUUGUUUCACAAAUGCAGGCUGAGACAGAUAGGGAAGCGGGAGGAAAUAAGGGUAUAUCAGACAAACAAAUCCGCUUGAAGAUUUUUUCUCCAAAUGUUCUGAAUAUCACAUUGGUUGAUCUGCCGGGAAUAACCAAAGUGCCGGUCGGUGACCAACCAAGCGACAUUGAGGCAAGAAUUAGAACACUGAUCUUGUCAUACAUCAAGCACAAGACUUGCAUCAUAUUAGCAGUUUCACCUGCAAAUGCAGAUUUAGCAAAUUCCGAUGCUCUUCAGAUGGCAAGAGUUGCCGAUCCAGAUGGUAAGUAUGCAAAAUGCAACAUAAUCUUAGUGCAUAUAGAGUUAGAGUGUACAUCUAUACCUUUAUGAUUUAACUAUCAUCUGGAUAUAAGAUAUCCUAUUAUGUCAACUUUUGUAACAGAAUCUGGUUGCUCUUGCAGGCUCUCGAACAAUUGGGGUUAUCACGAAGGUUUUAUCUGUGGCUUGAAAUGCUAAAUUCUAGGUUUAUCGUACUUAUUUACUAUACACUAAAUUUUAUCUAUGGCCGCAGUUGGAUAUAAUGGACAGAGGGACUGAUGCACGUGACUUUUUGCUGGGAAAAGUGAUCCCCUUACGACUUGGUUAUGUUGGUGUUGUGAAUCGCAGCCAACAGGUACUCCCUUUUUGCCGAGUAGAAAUAUUCUAAUUUCUGCAUUUCUUCUUCUUCCACUCUCUCUCUCGCUUGCAUGUGCAUGCGUCUUCCCCCCCACCACAAAAAGAUCAUGCAUCGAUUGUACAUAUGAAUGUACCCUUGCCCCCUUUCUACCCGAAACUUUGAAAGAUAUAGAAGUUAUGAUGAUGAUAUGCGUCCUGCAUCUGAAGUGUUGUGCGACAAGAAACUGAAAUUUUAAUAAGUUCAUCGUAUGAGGACGAGUCUUUUCUUCUUCUCAUUUAUUCUUCUUUACUUAAUGUUGUCUUAUGCAGGACAUCAACUUAAAUCGUAGUAUCAAGGACGCUCUGGCCUAUGAAGAGAACUUCUUCCGGAAUCAGCCUGUAUCAUCUCCUUUCUCUAGAAUGCAUUCCUUUUUCCUAAUAUAUUAAUUACUUAGAAGAGUAUAUGAUGUGUUUUUGCUCUUUAUAGGUAUAUCACGGUCUCUCUCAUUGUUGUGGGGUUCCCCAAUUAGCCAAGAAAUUAAACCAGGUAAGUGCCUUGAAUUUAAUUUAAUUGUCAGGCCUACCUGUUUUCAAUUAUCUGAAGGACCUGGAGUAUUCUGGAACCUUUAUGGGAGUGUCCAAAUUUAUUUCUGAUCUGCUAUUGGAUUUUGCUCUUGCCAUCCCUUACAAAAUAUAUUACUUUCUAGCCAAAACAUUAAUGCUUUUGUUAUUUCUAUGCUGAGCGUGUUGAUACUAUUUCUAUUUGCAGAUUUUGGUGCAACAUAUUAGGACAGUUCUUCCUGGUUUGAAGUCUCGUAUAAGCGCUCAAUUGACAUCUGUAGCGAAGGAGCUUGCUGCCUAUGGUGAUGUAGUGGAAUCAAAGGUUUGUUUGUCUAUAGGGUGCAUUAACUGUAUUACAUGAUACUGUUAGUUGCUUUGGAGGUGUGCCUUUGUUGAUUUCUGUAGGUUGUCUUGCCCUAGUAGACAUCUUAAUUCCAAUAAUCUUGCUUAAAAUAAUGACAGAAGGAACACACUAUGUAUCUUUCAAACAUGGCACUUCUUAAUUUAUUUUGUAAGUUCUUUUCAAAAUAUCAGCUUGUGUGACUAAAGAAAUGGCCAAAUUACUUCAAUUUUUGAAUGCUGAAUAGUUUACUAGUAUUAGCAACUUCAUUCAAUGUAUCUAAAAUGCUCAUUCAUCUGAAUCUAGUGAUCUUGUUCUUAUAUACCGUGCUUUAUAUUGUUACUACUGUUGUAGUUACUGAAAAGAGCUUGAAAAGUUAGGCACCUGAGCUCUGACAUGUAUGUAGGCCGUGGCUUGGUGGUAAUACGAUGAUAACUUGCUCAUUAUUCAUUUCUUUUCUGGAGGCAUUUGUGAUUAUUCAAAUUAUUUUAAGUUAGCAUUAACUUUUUUGCAAGCGGUUUCCACCUAUGUAGUGUCGCUAGUCUCAUCUCUAAAAGAGACUGAUGAAAUAUAAUAGCAUUGCUUCUAGUCUCUCAUAAGCUUUUCCUUUCAUAUUUGGUUGUUCAUUUUGUGUAUUCUAAUUCCAGGCUGGGAUGGGUGCAAAACUCUUGAACAUUCUUGCUAAAUACUGUGAAGGUAUGCUUUAUUUUUAUAUUGUCAUUUAUUGGCUCAGCAGCAUUCUGUGACUAUGUAGCUUAAAUUUCCUCAAAACUCUUGGCUACUAUCCAAUCUGAAAUCUGUUGCACUUAAUCUUUCAUCAUCUUUAUAAACUAUUUGUUUUCCCUUUCUUAAUUUUCCCUCCUAAUUCGUGUAUGGCUUGUUUGACUAUUGCAGCUUUUUCUUCUUUGGUGGAUGGGAAAAAUGAAGAAUUAUCAACAGUCGAGCUUUCCGGUGGAGCACGAAUUCACUAUAUUUUCCAGUCUAUCUUUGUGAAAAGUCUAGAGGCAUGUCUCCUUAUGUUCUAUGCUUCAGUUUCAAGUUCCAGUUUUCAGAUAUGUUAAGCUUCAACUAUUCUUCUUAUUUAUUUCGACAAUUCACUCAAACUAUAUCUAUUCUCUCCAGGAAGUUGAUCCUUGUGAUGACAUCACUGAUGAAGAUAUCCGUAUGGCCAUUCAAAAUGCAACGGGCCCUCGGAGUGCUUUGUUUGUGCCACAGGUAAUGGUCAUUAAUUAGUGUAAUGCAUUUUUAACACAAUAACGAGCUUAAAAUAAAGUUUGUACGCUUAUAUUCUCAACGAAAAUUUUCCUUUUAUGGAUAAAUAAUUAGGUGCCAUUUGAAGUCCUUGUUCGCAAGCAAAUAGGCCGUCUGGUUGACCCGAGCCUGCAAUGUGCAAAAUUCAUUUAUGAUGAACUGAUUAAGGUAUAGACUCUUCCAUUCCAUUUUUGAAUUUUAUUAUGUGAUGGGCCAAAGUAUUCAUAAAGUUUUAUUACUUCUAAAUUUUUUUUGGUAACUUACUGUAGAUGAGUCACCGCUGCUUAGCCAGUGAGCUACAGCAGUUUCCUGUUCUCCGGAGAUGUAUGGAUGACGUAAUUGGUAAAUUCUUAAGAGAAGGACUUCAACCUGCUGAAGCAAUGAUAACUCAUAUUAUUGAGAUGGAGGUAUAAAAUUUGUUCACAUAGUUGUCCAUUGCAUUUGUUGAUGUGCAUUCGUUGACUUGAUAGUUGUCUAUUUUCGACACUGCAUAGUUCCUUCCAAUUUUGGCAUUGUAAUGGUUUUUUAUGUCUUUGCAUUGUUUCUUGUUGAGUGUUUGCUGUACCAGAAUUUGGUGGAAAUGACUGAUAUAGUGUGUUGUGACAAUCAUGUUAAAGCAGCUGGUCUUAUAUAAACUGUUUUGGCUAUACCAAUAGUCAAAAACUAAAAAUAUCUGACAAAACAGAGGGGGACAGGAGACUCCUUGUUUUAGUAUAUAUAUGAAGGUGCUGAAUUUGAGUAUAUCAUCUAUUUUUUAUUUGUUCUGAAGUAACUAUGUGAGUUGAUCUGACAAAUCACUUCUAUCAAGCAUCUAAUCAUGAACAUUUUAAGUUGUGAAUAAGUGGGUGUAAUGGUUGACUACCGUGUUCUUUUUUUGUAUUGCCUAUUUGUUAGUUGCUUUAACAAUUUUUUGGUACAGAUAUGGUUUAAGGUAUUAGGUAUAAGAUGCAAGGGUACUUGGAACGAUAACAUUGGUGCCCUUAAUAACCUCUUUAGGCUAAUAGGUUUGCUGUCUACUUGCUACAGAAGUGAGGGAUAGACACAGAAUAACUUUUGAGUAAUCUGACCACGGAAAUACUCCGCAAUCAAAGGUUUGUUCUUUCGGUUCUUAAAUUUGUUCUGUACAAUUUGCAGAUGGAUUACAUAAAUACUGCUCAUCCAAAUUUCAUUGGGGGAAGUAAGGUUGUUGAGCUGGCUCAACAGCAAGUUAAAUCUGCUAGAUUAUCAGCUACAGUUCCCAAAACAAAGGUAUGGAUUGUGUUUUUCUUUGUUCUGAUGUGUAUCAUGAACUUCCAAUCAGCAAGUGCUUUGGGCUGGAAUUCUUGAAGUAACAGUUAUCCUGAAAAUCAGGUCUAGCCAUGUACAGGAGUUUGAAUGUUUUUGGCAAUAAUUGGUACUGCUGAUAAUGAAAACCUUGAUUUCUGCUCAAUAUUUUUCUAUAAUGGUUAAACUAUUGGUGUACCAGGAACUUCUUACUCGUGUGAUUAAACAUAUGCAUACAUCACGAUAAAUUAUGUGCAUCCACCACUACAUAAUAUGCAACAGCAUGCGAAAUUUGUAUGCAAAAGCACUAAUUGUUAAGUUACAAUGAAUAUAGGAUGGUCCAGACUCUGAUAAGUUACAAGCAUCGGAAAAGAGUCUAAAACCUCGAGCUAUCCUGGGCAGAACCGUCGCAAAUGGAGUAGUUUCUGAUUCGUCUCAGGUUUGUUAUGUUCUUUUUUCCGUAAUUUUGCUGUUAAGAUUUUAUUUAUUUUUUUUAGCAUGCUAAAUGUGCAAUUAUGUGUUGCGUUAAAUCUCUUACACAGUUAUCUCCCGUUUUCUGUCUUCCGAUCAGGUAGUUCGACCUGGUGUUGAUUCUGAGAGAUCAAGCACAUCUGGUAAGAAUGAUGUAGAUUAUAUCUGAAACUAGGAAAGAAACCAGGAGAAUGCUCCAAUGUUUUAUUGUCUGAUUAUGUUUCUGCUAAAUGCUCAAUUAAAAUGUCUAAGGUGUUUUUUUGGGGGAAUGUUGCUAUUUGUUGGGAGUAUUACUAAGGAAAAAAAUAAUUUCUUGUUUAUUUGUUUAUUUAGGGAAAUGUUGCAUUGGAAUUGCGGUAUCAUUUAUUGUUUGAAAUAUUUAAACCAUCUUAUAUUGAAAUACAGUAGGAAGUUCAAAUGGAUCAAGUUGGGGUAUUUCAUCAAUUUUUGGCACUAGUGAGGACCGAACACCUGCAAAAGAGAGUUUCGUGAACAAAUCUUAUAAUCCAUCUUAUAAUCCACCUGUUCACAACAUGGAAUAUCCCCUUUCUAUCAUCCAGUUAAGAGAGGUGAGAUGGUUCUCUGGCAGCUCACCUUGGUUUGCUAUUUUGUGAUCUAAUUCGCUAUUUAACUAAUUAUCAUUGUUGUUCAGCCACCAGUCAUCUUAAAGCCCUCAGAGAGUCAGACUGAGCAGGAGGCGUUGGAAAUAGCUAUCACCAAAUUAUUAUUAAAAUCGUAUUAUGAUAUUGUUAGGAAAAAUAUUGAGGAUUCUGUUCCAAAAGCGAUUAUGCAUUUCCUGGUAAGUGGUCUCACACCAACUAUAAAAAAUUCCUUUUCUCUUUCUUUCCCCUCAUACUUUGUUCAUCAGCUUCUAUUUUCUAUUCGUAUGUCAUGUUCUUAUUCAGUUAAUAUUUGCUUUAUUUCUCUCAUUUGCUUAAGAUGACUUGUACAUCAUUUACUUCUAUGACACUUCUUUGCACACAGUAUAAUUUCUAAAAGAACUUAUGUUUGUAGAGAUUCUUAUAAUUGCGAUAGUUGUUAAUUAAAACAAUAUAUUACUGCUUGACAAAUUUUUGCAUUUUUUUUCCCCAAGCCAUUCAUUUUGGAGCUAUUAUAUCUGAAAGUGCUGUUAGUUGCCAUGUUGUUUAUGGUUGUCCAUUUUCCAGUCCUCUUUAUUGGGAUAGUGUUAUUGAAGCUUGGCAAUCAAACUAAGCCCUAUAGAAACAGCUAGAGCUCAUCUGAUUUUCCGGCUGGGUUAAAGUUUGAAUUAAAUAAGCUCAGGUAGAACAUAGGAAAUAGGCUUGCGUUUGAUUGAGCCUGAAACUAGCUUGGCUCAAUCAUGCUCAGUCAAAUAGGACAACUCCUUUAUAACAACUUGUGAAAUGUAAUAGUAGUUCUUUCCUAUGAGUAUUUCUCACACUCAUGGAUGUGUUUGAGAUAUGGACACUACUGCUGCGUACUUUUCUUUUGCUUUCACUUGUCUCUGAUUCAGGAAUUUAUGGGAUAUUUUACUUGCUAUUAUGUGACAUGAAAAGACAUCUCUUCUCUUGUAGUUUUAAUUGCAUAUAUUGAAAUGGUCUGUUUCAUUUCACUUCCAGGUCAAUCACACAAAAAGAGAGCUGCAUAAUGUUUUUAUUACCACUCUUUACAGGUAUCAUAUUUAUUAUUAUUUGAAACAGGUUAAGUUUCCUUAGAUGUUAAAAGGACUAGCAUCCUUUGUCUCAUGAUUCUCCUAGGGAUUCAACUUUUAUAAAUACACAGCCCCUUUGACAUGUCUUUUUCUAAUUCAGGUUAGUAGGAAGAAAAAGAAAUCCUUUUCUAAUGCUUGCUUUGUAAAUGUAGGGAAAACCUCUUUGAAGAGAUGCUGAAAGAACCCGAUGAAGUAUCUGUGAAAAGGAAACGCAUACGAGAAACACUCAAAGUUUUGCAGCAGGCUUAUAGGGUAGGAAGUUCACUUUUCUAGAAUCAUUACCAUGGAUGUUAGUGCCAGAUUAUCCUUUCUUUGGAAACAACUUCUCUAUUUCGAGAAGCAAAAAGCUUUUCAGAAAUCAGCUGUGGCUAACAAUAAUUUGGAGUUUUUGCUGGUGCAAGAAGCUGAGAUGAGCUUUUUGGUUUCCUAAAGUGGAAAUUCCAAUUUGAAGCUUCUGCUUCUGGUGCAGCAAGAAACUAUAAAAGAGAUUUUAAUGGAAAAGUUGUCGGUGCUUCUUCAACCAGCUUUUUCUCAAACAACACUUUUGUUGAAAUUCCAUAAGAGCAAAUUGAGCCCUCGGUAUUUAUCUCUAAAUAUAUGUUUUCUGUUUUUCCUUUUCCAUGUUUAGACAUUGGAUGAGAUUCCGAUCGAAGCAGAUUCAGUCGAGAAGGGCUAUACGCUGGAGAGUGAUUCCAUGGGCCUCCCAAAGGUCCAUGGGCUUCCUUCAUCAUUCUAUGCCAAUAAUGGUGCAAGCUCGCCAUAUACGGGCUCCCCUAAGAAUCCGAGAUCCAGGAAGUCUGCCCACUCGGGAGAGCAACCUGCGUACUCAUACGUAAAUUCCGAUUCCAAUGGCUUGGGCUCGUACCCUGUUGUUGGCUCUUGAUAUCAUCAAUGUCUGAGUUAAAUGUUCUCACUAGUGCUUCAUGUACAGUAAAUGUAUUACAUUCCUAUUAUUUCAUGACUACUCUCGUUUCUAGUUUUCUUGCGAGAGAAACUUCCCAUUUUGGCGUGAUAAAAAAUGAAAAAGUUAUAUUUUUUUUGCGAGUAUUAUCGCGAAGGACGGUAAGGCUGGGGAUGUGUAGAAGUUCUAUGCUGCAACAUUCCGAUGUUUGCCAUAUUUUUUGUAGUGAAAGACCAUGUAAGCUUUCAUGGUUGUCCAAGAUGAAUGUAAUUCUUUUUGUUUUCAAUCACAAAUAAGAUAAGAUUGCAAUCAUCUAUGCUUCUUGUUGAAUCAGUGAAGCUCCAUUUACCUGCUUGUAAUCUGGUAGACAGGUUGUUUAUUACUGCUCCCGGCCGGCGUUAGUUAUGAUUCAAAGUUGCAUUUGAGUGCAAAAUUUGUUGAUAUAUUUUUCUUUCGAUGUGUAUCGUUAUUAAACUUAGUGGAGACCAGUAAUGAAAUUAUUAUUCUACAUCAAUUAUUUCUUCUUUUGGGGAGCUAAUUUGUUCAAAUUCUUUUGAAAGCCUGGAGGUGAAGAACGUUCUGAUUUAUACAUUCCCUUAGGACUACCACUUUUGUGAGAUUUCACCUGUGUAAUUUAAAAGGGUUUGGUAUAGAGCAUUUCAUAAUCAAACCAAUUUAAAAGGGUUUGGUAACUGAAUUUAACUUAAAAACUCUUCACGAGUGAAAUCAGUUGAAUUCUAUUCAGAUUUGAUUCUAAACAGUGUAAGAGAGAAGAGAAAAAAGAAAUGCUUUUCGCACUAGCGAAAUUCGAAUAGAUACAGCAAAACACAUUGUGCGCAGAUACCAUGCAAGCUAGCGGAAAAGAAUUGAGAGAACCAAAAAAAUGUACAUGAUCUUCCGUUGUUUUACUGCAGUUCCCCAGACAUCAGCUGCAACAUAGAUGCUACAGUUGGUAGUAAAAUCCAUGUCAUUUAGCCUCUCCUCGCUCGUGUGAAGUUGCAGUGCCGAAACAAGUAUGCAACCGCAAUAUUCUUUCCUGGAAUAAUCUGAAACAAAGAAUACUUCAAAAGAUGAAAAAUUAUUCUGCAGUUAAAUCAAUCUGCAUUUGAUGGCAUUUUUUGCAGAAAACAGUUUAAUAUUCUAAUACACGGAUACACGUAUCUAAUCCUCAUGUAAAUCCAAUCACAUUAUUUUAGCCAGUAUAUUAGCUCAUCUAAUAAAAUUUUAACAGGGAAAUACCCAAGUCUUCUGACCAAAGAACAGUUCACUCUUUAUUACUGUUUAACUAGAAAAAUACAUAUAUACUGAUUAAAUCUGAGUAAGAGGAUAUAUCGUUCACUAUUUGCUCCGAAGCAAAGAUGUCGAGAGUACCUUACUCUGAUAUGCCUUCUUCUCUCGGAUUUCUUUGUAUUGAUGAAGGAAAAAACUUGCCAAAUCCAGCAAAUGCACCAUUGAAAAUAGUUGGAUAUCUCCCUUCUCGAGCCAAAGAGAAAACAAAUAAACAAGUAAACCUGCAGCAAAGUGGAAAAGAUACUAUUAAGUAUGAUAAUUCACACACAGUUCUUUCAAUUAAGUCAAACUUACUUGCCUUGCUUAGAAUUCUCCAAUCCUCUCACUUGGCUGUCUUCUUUUUUCCCGAUUUCUUUUUCUUCUGGGCAACACGCGGACCGCGUUUGAACACCGCUAGAACUUCAAUGCUACAAAGAUUUUGCAAUUUUACAAUUUAAUAAGAAUGUAACAGGCAAGCUUAUGUUUCAUGCUUCAAAAACAACGUGUCAUCAUUAUGAAAACAAACAUACUAAAUCUGAAAAGGUCACUACAGAUAUCAAUCAUUCGGUUAAAGAUGGCUAUCAGGUGAAGAAUUAGCAGUGAUGUAAUUUAUCACACCCUCAGAGAUUGGGAAAGUAGAGAGAUGAGAAAUGACAAUGAUCAGAGAGUCAUCCGAAAUAAGACUAACAUAGGACCAACUCUCUAAUGAGCCAGAUAUCAAACCUUUGUAUUAAGCACACGGCUUUGUUUCUGUGAUAGUGUCAAAAAAUAAGAACUAGAAAGCAGUAGGAGAGGUGUUACAUGUAUGCUAGUAAAGGAUCAGCAUACUAACUACCGCCCCCUCCUCAACAAUCCCUCUUAUUACAGAGGACUCAUUUUAAGGCGGUUCUUAUCAACAAACUUCCUGUCCAAAAUUACGAGUCGGUAGUCAUAAAUACCUCUGAGUGCCAGGGAAAAAGUUGAAAGCAUGAGCUUUCUCCAAAUGCCAUGCAUUAUUUGAUAACAAGUUCUUACAAUCCUGUUGAAAGAAUUUUAUAGCCAAAAAUAAGGAAUCCAUCAUUAAUCACCAAACCAUUAAAAGGACAAAAAGGAAUAGAUCAAAAAUAAAGGGUCUGAAAUACCAAGGCAACGAGAUAUAGAUGAGACUCAAAUGUGUUGUAAACAAAAUAUACCUCCUUAAAACUUUCCCAUCCACAACUGAUAUAGAUAAGGGUUGCCGGCCAACUUUGACUAUUUUCCCAGUUGGUUUUGCCAUCAACAUGAAUGGCUGCUUCCCUUGCUCGUAGAAUCCAGGGUCUCUUUUCCUCUUUCUCAUUUAGGAUAGAACUGAACUCAGAAGAAGCUUUAGGAAGUCUAAGCCCUUUAAUUAAUAGCCAUUUUUCUUUAUAAAUUGGUUAUAAUGCAAGAAACACCUUAUAGAUUUAGAAGUUUUCACAUUUCCCCCUAAAAUUUUAAAACGUACAUUUUACCCUGUUGACUCUAUGAGCAAAAAUCCUGUACUCCGAGUGCAUCACUAUAUAGGUUUCAAUAUCUCAGGGUGAAAAGUGAAAACAGCAAUAAGAAUGAGAAAAUACAUUAUGUAUAUGACAAAAAAGGAAUCAUCUUUUUAAAUCCUUAGAAAUAAAAAUGCAUCUAUACCUUUUGGGAGCCUUGGAAGCCUUACUAUAAGACAAAGCAACAUUCCUUAAAGCAUCGACAAGAGAUGGAUGCAAUCCUUUUCUUGGAGGAUCCACAAUAACAACAUCAGACCCCUCAAGCCAGUGAACUGGUUCCUGUAAUCAUAAUUCACAAUUCCCACUUUGAAAACCCAAUUUUCCAAUAGUGAACCAUUAAUUCAAAUAUCCAGUUCUGAAAUUUGACUUCAUACAAUUGAAGCAUCGGUAUUGUGCCAAUUGAUGCUGCAAUCUACGGUUUUGGGCAGACGGCUCACUGACUUCUCAAAAGACGCUUUCGACUCUUUGUUGAUCUCAAUGCAUUUCACAGACCUGAGAAUUUAAAAAAUUAAAAAUAAAAAAUGACAGGCAUUUGAUAUAAGAUAACCCAAAUAGGGUAAAAUUCUUCAAAAUAUAAUGGAAUUAGACCCUAGCACUUGCCUACAUUUCCUUGUGGCUGCUACAGAUAAACCAAUGGCACCAGCCCCUGAAUACAGAUCAACAACAGAUGAUCGGCGAGGGACGUACUUCUGCAAUUUCCUUAGUAAAGAACAAAAAGCCUGCAUAUGUGCAAAUAAAUGAAUCCAAUAGAAACUGCAAAUAGUUCAAUUCUUGCGAACUUCAAUUCCUACAUUUGUGUGGCAUAAGAUACUUAAUGAUUUCACACAAACACAAUAUUAUCUUUCAUUAUUAUUUCUAUUUUCAAGUACUCAUCACUUAACUGAUGAAAUACUUGAUUUUUGCAAUGUAAAUAGGUGGUUAGAUACCUGAGUAUUUGCCUGGCCAAAGCUUGAUGGAUCAAGAGAAACAUCAAUUCCUCCUAUAUGCUCCCAGAAAUCUCUCUCCCCUAUGAGAUGUCUCCAUUUGUUUCCAAAAAUUAUCUGCUCAUACAAUGGAAAACUAUCAUACCUAACAUGGUUAUUAGAUAAUCCAUGAUCUUUUCCCCUUUUUUUGGUUAAAGAUGAUAAGUCUUACUAAAUGAAAAAUAAUUAAAGUCGGCAUCUUGUAUCAUAUUAUAGGCUAUACUGGAAUGUAACCACAAACCAUGAGGUUAACUACGACAUGCUAAAACAAUUAAGCUAAAUUUGGCUUACAUUGCUGCUUGACGUUUGAAAGUUGGCCCAUACAGAAUGAAUCAAAUGGAUGUUACCGUUUGGUCCACCGUUUCUCCAUAAAAACUGUAAGAAAAAUGACAAGACUCUGAUUUAAUACAAAAGUAUGUCAAAAAUGAUUAUAAUUGGAAUAUCCACAGCUGAUUCUAACGCUAGCACUGAUGACUUACAUCAGACAAGGAUUUCAACUUCUCAGAAUUCUGUGCAUGUUCAUUUCUUGAAUUCCAAACCAAGGAAACUUGCACUUUACCUAAAAGGAAAACAAGCAUAUCCUAGCAUUUGAGAGAACCUCUAUGCAAUAUAGAGCUUAUGUAGAAACAGAUUAACACAGAGAGAGAGAGAGAGGGAGAGAGCUUCUGUGUGAACCUUCUCGGUAUCGUUCUGCAGCUGGGAGGGAUGUGUUAUAUGUUGUCACAGCCAUCUGAAGAGUAGGAUUACAGAAUUUAAAAAAAGGCACCUCAACUGAGUUCCUAUUCAGUUCAUUAUAGUCAAACAAAAAACUCAACUCAUUAAUAUGCAUAUAUAAUUUUCAGAUUGGGUUGCUUUUCAAAGAAUACAUAUCUGAAGCCAAUUAUUUCAACCGAAACACUUGUCAAAAAAACAAGCCAGCUGAAUUAGAACCUUCAUGCUUUUGGUGUAAAACCUAAUAUUAAGUGUGGACCUUUAUAGACGUAAGACACUAAUUAAAGAAGACUCAAACAACGCCCAUGUCAUCCUGCGAAGUCUUUACUCCCUUAGUUAAUAAGCAGCUUAAUAAGCAGCUUCAAGUUUAGCAGCUAUAAAAACUAAGCAGAAUAAACUUCCAAUCCAAUCUAGAAAUAUCAAGCCAUCAAGGCCUCCACAAAUAUUCAAUAGUAUAUCUCCAAUUAGAUCGUCAGAUACAGGACACAUUAGAAUGCACAAUUCUAGUGUCACUAAAGUAAUGCUAAAGAUACCUUAAAAUACACCCCAAAAUGCAGCUGAUGAGUCAAAUUUGCACACGUGACAGCUAGUGAUUGAUUUAGCUUUUAAAUUUCAGACAUGAUACCUAAUAUAGAUAUCAAUAUUAAAAAGCUAAAUCAUUCACUAGUUGUCAUAUGUACAAAACUAACUCAUCAACAACAUUAUGGGCUAUAUCAUAAGAUAGUAUUACUUAUAUGAAAAAUUAAUAGAUUCAUCUUCAUCAUGAGGUUUGGAGGGAAUAUUAUAACUUCUGUUGAAGUUCCACCAUCACCAAAAAAUUUUGGAAGUCCAACAAUUAAUUAUAUCCUUGAGUAAACUUUACAAACUAUACCAGUGAAAUACCCAUGUUCGCUAAGAUUUAAAGAAAGAUGUUAGCUACUGGUUUCUCCUAUGUCAGCUCUCGCAUAGAACCAAGUACACUGAUCAUAGUGUAUAGAACUUCUGAUUAGACCAAACUCUGAAUCAAGUGGAACUGUGGAAGACUUUUCAAGUAAACACAAUCAGUCAAAAUCUUAUUACUAGAAUAUACACCUUCCACUGAACAUUUAACUUAAAACAGCUCUUGCACUUCUUUCCGACGGUAUCCUCCAGCAAACCACCAUGGCAAUCAUGCCCCAAGACUUCUUUUAGAGUCCAAAAAUCUAUUCAUUCUUCAAUUGGUGCAUGUGAAACUUGUUAAGAUAAUACUCCCAGCCUUACCUAGUAAGGGUACACUGCUAAAACAAAUAGUAGACACCCUCUUCCACCACCACAUUGUGUAGAAACAGAGUUCCCUUUCAAUGUCUCUUCAACAGAUUGUGUUUUGUUAGAAGGCUCAGAACUCUAUUGUUUAUAGGAAGCUAGUAAUUUGAAAAGCAACCCCAUAAAACCACAGAGCCAAUGAGCUAAUAAUUCUCCAUCAUUAAGAGUUUCGUAACAAGCAUCAUUGCCAAGUUGUUGCACCAGCUGGACACCAAAUUCCCUAGUCUAUAGUAAUAUUAAAACUGUCCAAGCAGAUGAUUGAGCUCAAACUUCUUCUAAACUGUACAUUCUAACUUAGAUGUCUUUUCAUAGAAUUCUUGUAAUAGAAUUUCAAUAUUAAAACUCGCCAAACAUAAGUCCCUUAAUAAGAGAGAGGCCUCCACUUCCACUUGCAUAAUAAAGCGCUAAUAAAAUUCCUUUGGCCCAUCAUUCUUUUUAACCAUCCUAUCUCAGCUCACUUUGACAAUGUCUCCGCAUCCAGUAAAACUUCAUUCUGAUUGUCUGAUUCUACCGAUAACCAUGGAGGCAAUCUAUAAAGAGAUCUAAUAUACAAAGGAAACAGAUAUAACCAAUUUAAGAAGAAUUAAACUUCCAACCAAAGAUGAUAGAGAACUUUCUGACCAGACUAAUUGGGGUCAACUAAUUGGGUUUGAAAAAGGACAUGAAACUGGGAUUCACAAAAGAUUUCACGUACCUCUUCUGAAAUAUAACUUUGAAUAGCCUUUUAUUUCAUUCUUAUGUCAAACGACCAUGCGUCAUUACACGCAACUUACCAUUAUAACUUGUUAACCAAGGAAAUAAAUAAAUAAAUAAAGAUUUGAAUGUAUAUUAUAUAUUAAUGGGUUUCAAAGAGUUUUUGGCUAAAAUUUAGAGCUCAAGGAGCAAAGUGCAGUGACACAAAAAGCACAACGAUGGACAGAUGGAGAUAAAUUUUACCAUCAUUUAAUUGAUAGUCCAAAACAUUAAGCAAUUCACUUAAAUGUGUAGUUGGUGACUAGACUUUUGGGAGACUCUCCACCCAACGAGUGCCCAACCACGCUAACAACCUAGGCAGUCUUUCUCACCUACUAUCUUCAUGACACAAGAAAUAUUAGUUGUCUUAGUUUAGUUAAACCUUUUAGUAACAUAUAAUCAAUAGAUGAGUAUAAAUAGCCACAAUGACAUAAAUAAGAGUGCUAUAGCAAAAGAAUGUAUAAUUACUGAUCAGCUGGAUGUACUAAAGUAAUAAAAAGCAAUAGUGACCUGGACAUAUCUCAAUUCACCGGUACCCAAAUCUUCAUCAAAUGGCUGAAUAUUCAACUUGGAAAUACCUAUGAAAAUUAAAAAUGUCAAAAAAAAAAAAAAAAAAAUCAGAGACCAAUGGAUAUGCAAACAAAAUGCAACAGCUAACUCUUGAGUUAAAAGAGCAUGCCUUGUUUUAGAAGGUCGACUGCAGCAUUGAUGCUUGGAUGAUGUGCUGCAUGAAAGAACAACUCGAUAAAAGAAACAGAUCGCAAGGAGCAAAUUGUGAAAGGUUGCAAGGAAACUAUAUAUCUUAUUGAACUGAUGGCAUGAUAAUGGACAAAAAACCACUUACCAAAACACUCUCAUUAUACAAGUUAUGAUACAAGGAUAACUCUAGCAUCCAAUACAAUAAUUACCACACAUAACAAAUAAAAUAUUGCAAUGACAUAAAUGUUAAUGCAGUUGUUCUCUCUAAAUCAAGACCCUAGCUUUAGGCUGAAGACAAUAGACAGACAAAUCAACUGUACAAAGUAAUUAACGCACCUCUACCUAAAUACUAUCACUAUGGGAGUGAAAUGCUUUAAUUAGAGUACAGACAUACACGCGAGAAAGAGAGAGAGGGAGGGAGGGGGGGCCUUGACAAUUGUCGCAACAUUUUAACUACCAAACAGUUUAUGUAGUGGCAAAAAUAUGAAAAUGUUUUGCUGUCUAACCUCUACAUUGUGGAAUAUCAACAACACUAUGUGUCCCUUCUUGAUAUAGCCCAACCAGCGGGAUCUCUGGCGUUCCGCGUAUAGCAAGCUUUGCGCGACAUCUCCACUCCCACUAGAAGUGCCAUUUAUGGGAAUCAGUAUAUAAGAGAAAGCUGCAUGAAAGUAGCUUACAGCUUUUCCAUAAAAAAAUAAAGCAUAAGAUAUAAAUUAAUAAAAAAACAUUAAAAAGACAUAAUAGUAAAAAUUGUAAAAAAAACAUAUAUGGAGAAAAUAUAAUCAAUAGCUUUUCCAAAUUAAAGUAUAAAACAUCUAACUAUGGCAGAAUACAAAAAAAAAGAGGAACAGUUCUCAUACAUGGACAAUAUAAAGGGUCAGUGGUUCACUAAUAAGCAGAAAGACAAUUAGCCCCUUAACAUGAGGACAUGAAUAAGACAAUGUUAUGGUACUAUCGGUCUCAAGUGAAACUACAAAAUAAACAAAACUUAGUUUUAAGCACCAAAUCUCCAGAACAAAAGCACCGUCAACAACUUUUGAUUAAUUCCACAACCGCAUUAGACAACCUUACCACAUCAGUUCCAAUUGUGUAUGAGUGCGCAUGCGUGCGUGCUUGUUUGCAUGCAUGCAUGCAUCUGUGUAGCCUACAUCUUUGCUUUUAGUUCAUCUCAAAAUCCUAGCAGUCAUAUCUUCCGGUCGAACGUAAUCUGCCUACAAGGUCAUGUGUCUUACUCACAAAAAAUAACUUAAAGGUGGCAUAAACUAGUGCCUGGAACAUCCAAUCAUACUCCUCAUUUACCAAUCACUGCUCUUAACCUUCAGUAAACAAAAAUGUUGUGUGGAACAUGGUGCUCAUGCAUCCAAAAUGGCCACAAAUUCAAAAGUAAGAUUUGAACCCAAGUAUCAAAUUCAAAAUGAUGAAUUUAUUUCAAUGCAACAUAAACAAAAAAAAUUAAUAGACACAGGUUGAUUCCAAUAAUAACACACCAAUCGACCAAUAUCAAAGGAGAAGUCGGCAACGCCGCGGUCCUUGAAGAACUUGCUCACUUCUUCGAGCACUUGCGGGCGGUCCAGAUCCCACUCAUGCGUGCACCCUGAACACCUAGGAUCUCACCAAAAAAAUAUAUAUAUACAUUAAUAAAAAAUAAUUUAAGGGUCCUGCUUGGAAUUUGGCUCACUAAUUUCUAAUUUGAUGCGAGAUAACGCAAAAACUUAUCUCCCAUUUCAAUUCGAUCCCCAAAACUCGAUUUGACUCAGGAAAGCUCACUAAAAAGUAAAAACCAGUGUUCCCAAGCCACAAAAAAAUCCGCUUUAUGAGGAUUUAUGCACUAAAUUACACUUUUCGAGCUGAAUUUAAGCUGCUUGCACCAAAUUAGACUUAGCAGAACUAUACAACAGCGAGUUUUCUGUGCCAAAUCAAACUCUUAGGGCCAAAUCGUAGUAAGAACGAAAUUAGUGAGAUUGAUAUGAAAGAGAAAUUUGGGUCAAAUUGCAACUGCGACAAAGUUACCAGAUUUUUGUGAUGGUAAUCAAAAAAAUAAUCAGAAAUAGACGACCAUGAGAAGGGAUUAGGGUUAGGACUUACGAUUGGAAGUGCGGGCACUGGAGAGCGCAAGAAGAAGCGGAGGCGGCGGAGGAGGACGAGGAGGAGGAGGGAGAGAGGGGUUGGAGGUGGAGAUGAUUAGGGUUUUUAGGGCUUCUAGGGUUCUUGUAGGGUUCGGUGCGAGGAGGAGGGGCGGCGGGGGCGAGCCGCGCCGUGACGAACGUCACCGAGAGUAGCGCCGCCACCAUUUUUUCUUUUUUUUUUUUUUUGUUACGGAGCGUCCGCACGAAAAACUGCGUGCGAAUCGCGGAAAGCGAACAAAGCGAACCAACACUGUAGUAGAUGUAUACUGUAACAGCGAGGUACGGAAAUCCUAGAUAUUAGUAACUAGACUAAAUACGAAAUUACCCCUGUAUAAAUUUAAGUAUAAAUUAUUUAUUAAUUAACUUGCUAUAUCUAAUUCGUGCAAAUCUCUUGAUCAGAUGUUCUGAUCGUCCAAAUUCGACCUCUAUCUCUCUCAAAAUGUGCAAAAUGCCUUAUUUAAAGCGAACCAAAUUUAUCAUUUGAUGUCCUCGACCAGGCAUCAAAUUUUGCCGCAUAUUUAUAUCAUCAAAUCAUUUUUUUUAAGAGAAGAUUACAAGUAUGAUAAAAAAUGAAAUUAAAAGCAAUUAUAUUAAAACCAAAUCCAUAAUAGACUGUCACAUUAGACUUUUUUCAUAACGCGGGGGUUUUUUCAUAAUGCGGGGUUCAAGAGAUCGAAAUUAUGAACCUGCAUUUGGUAAUCGUAUUUAUAUAAUUAAAAAGUUGCAAUAAAGUAUUAAGUGAAUAAUUUAGGAACAAAGUCCAUCUAUAUUAUACGCCACACUUUGGAGAGUUUAUAGCAUUGCCUAAACAGUGCAGUCCCAUCAUGGUUCCAACUUUGUUGUUCACUUCCAAAUUUGUAAAAUUUAUUUUCCAACCUCCAACACUUGAUGAAUGAUUACACCCUUCAUCAUCAAGCACAUAUACUAAUUGUGGCCGCAAAACUUAAUGUGUAACAGUUUGAUUUUGAGCACUCUUCGUUUUUCAAAUAUCACCCCUAUCUUCUAUUGGCCGAUCGAAAAGCUGAUCAGCUUGGCCAUCGUACACGAUCUCUUUGCAGAUACCUCCCAUAACGAACGCGUUGGCGCGUAUCCUUCCACAAACUGAACGUCAACUUACGCCGCGUGGAAUGAUAUCAUCCUAGCAGCAGCUCAACGUCAACUGAACGUCAGAGAGCGAGUCUUGCCGCCGAGCUCAGGAACAAAGCAAGCUCUCGUAUGUUCGAACAUUUUAGAUACGGGGCGUCCUGCCUUAGUAACCGAUUCGCGCUCCCCCUCCCGUGUCGUACUCGGUAAACGGCCAUCCUUCGAUAAAUGCGUAAACCUACUUGGCAAUAUGGUUUCCAAAUCUAUAUGAAAACAUAGGUUUGCAACCUGAAGAACAGAAUUUUUCAUAUAAGGACCAAAAACUAUAUAAUGCACUAUAUAAUUUUAAUGUGUGUACUCAAGAAUGUCAAAAAGCUUACUUAUGAGCCAAAUGGACGCAUUGUCUUCGUCGACUCGCAUGCAGGUUCGUACUUGAGAAACUCAACAUGGAGCAUGACAACAAUUUCCCUAGAGAGAGAACAAAUGAUUGAGAUUCUUUUCAGAAAUAGAGGAGAAAACUUUAUUGGUGUUGUUGAAAACCAACCUGUGAAGCUCAUAGUCAUAGCAAUCCACAUUGAUCAAGCCAGAGUGUUUCAUAAGUUUUGUUACAUCCUCCUAUUUCCAAAAUUAAUGCAACACUGUUAGCUAUUACAUUAACUCAUAUAUGUUUUGAGCUAAGAUUACAAAUGUAAAAUUGCACUACCUGUGAGGGGUUGUCUUAAAUUCCGCGAUUCCGGAGCCAAUUGUUAGCAUCUGAUAAAAAGCAGCAUAAAAUAAAAUCAGCAUUUUAGUCAUCUAAACUAGAAAAUAAACUAAUUAAACAAAUUGUAACAAGGCAGAGGUGUAUAUAGUAAACUCUCUCCAAUGAAGCUCUUGACAGAAAUGCCAAGGGGGUGGUCCCAUAUGAUGAGAUAAGUGCUAUGGACUUAAAAUCGCGACUGGACCAUAUCCGCACCCGCUCCCUCAGAAAUACAAGAGCUGUCAAGUAGCUCGUACAGAAAAAUUUUAAAAAAAAAAAAAAAAAACCAAAGCCCAUUUAGUUGCUGUUCAUCUUUACUUGUAUUUAAUAGUUGAUAUGGACUGAUUGUGUUUUAGAAGAGAGAUCCAUUGUGACAUAACUACUUUACAAUUUAAAUUUUCUAGUUAAAUGCACCAAUUGUUAUUUGAAUCCUCACUUAUUUUGGUUUGGUUCCUUACCCUUUCUAGCCAAUAAAAUUUCUAUACAAUGCACAUUCUUCAUUUAAAAAAUCCUUGCAAUAUUUGGCACCUUUAGACCUGAACCUCUACAAAGUACACUAAAUUAAAAAAUUAUGCAAGACACAUGCUGCAUUUAAUACUGAAUUAAACUUAAUUUAUACACAUUCACUGGGUUUAAAUGUAGUCAUUGUUUGAUUGAUAUACCAACCAACGUAGCUCACGUGUUGUGGGCAAAUGUUCCAUGACGAAAUUUGAAAGACAUAUAUCAGGAAAUUACAAAUACACAAGUAAAGAUUUUUAAUAAUUUUUCUUACACUAAAGUUCGCUUGAUGACUUCAAAAGUCAGCAUAAAAACGUAUACAAUUCACACACGAGCUUCUAUUUUCGAGUCAAGAUUAUAUUUGGAUUUAAGCUCGACCAUUUUUUGCACCUGUUUGCAACAACCAACGCACAAUUCAUAUCCAUUUGAUACUAUUUGACAUUUAGAAUUUGUAAUGAACAAUUAAGAGUGUGAGCAUGAGAAUUAAAAGAAGAGGAAAGAACUUUUCUACCAUGAGUGACAACAAAGCAUCCUCCCCUGUUACUAACAAACGUCACAAGUAGCAGAGACAGUCAUGUAACUUAAGCUCAUCCCAAGACCAAGCCCAAUAAGUCCUCACAAAUAAUAUAUUCAUCCAUAAUACAUUAAUGAUUUUGCAAAUCAAAGGUAAGUAAGAUUUUCUUAAAAAUUAGUGGUACAAAGAGAGACCCAAUGUCGUAGGAUAACCGUGCAUAUUGAGUCGAGGAGACUUGACGACACUCCAUCGAUUCCUCUCGUUUCGCGAUCCACGACCUCGAACACCGGUCUGCCCCUAAGACGAAUUCAGCGAUGUUCGGCGAAUUGACGCAGCCAUGUUAUGCCACCCCUGCACAAUGUUUUGACCUCAUGAUGGUAAACACUACCAAUAGUCCAGCACGAAUGAAAAAAUAUCUGAUUGAAAUAUUAUGCAAGACCCCGGUACUUGUAAUAAUAAUGGCUAAACAUUUGAGCCGCUAGUUUUGAACAACGAGUUAUUACGCUAAUUAUUUGGUUGUUCAGUUUUUCUUGGUGUUUCUGUUUUUUUGUUUGUUUUGUUGUUUCUGUUGUUUUGUUGUGUUUGUGUGUUCGUGUUUGAGGUUGUUAAAAUUGUAUCAGAAUCAAAAUACCAAAGUAAAACCAAAGGUGAGAGCUAACUAACAGAUAAAUGCUAUAUCAGGAUUGAUUGAGCAGGCUCCACACCUUAUUAAUAAAAACAUGGACUAAACUUUAAAACCGAUGAUUUGGAACCUAUAACAAAUUAAUUAUUAUAGCGACAAGUCGUAAACAUAAGCAAACUUAAUUCAUUCAGUCACUAUAAUGAUGCCUACACUAAAAAAAAUGACCACAUAAUCCAUCAUAAAAGUAAUUAAUAUCCCUGAUCUUGUUUAAUAAUAAAUAUCAUAAAGAACAGCAUAUAUAUAAUAUCUAUAUAUAUGUACAUAAAUUAAUAUAUGUCAUAUCAAAUUCUCAGAAUAGGCAAAGCAAAAAUAAAAAUCCUUCUAUACAUUAAACCAUAAAGAAAUUUCCAAAUAUGAAAAAACAUAUCACAACAAAUGAACAUACAUAUCUAGAGUAAAAACAAAAAAAAAAAAAAAAAAGUUAUAACCAUACCAUUAAAACCCCAUGUUGCAAUAGCACAGGUUGCCUCCUUUUUCCGUCGUCAUUGCCGCCGCCGCUGCCGUUUACGCCUCCUCCCCCUCUCUGCGGGAUCCUUUGCAUGCUCAAUAUAUAUCCAUCUUGAGUUGUCACCUAAAAAAGCCAAACAUAAAAAAAAAAAAAAAAAAAUUUAACUUCCACAACAUCAGUGUAAUUUCGUACGAAAAUUUGAAUUUAUUCGAAAGAAACUGAUUAAACUUAUAGAAGGAAUUUUCACAUAAACAACCUCAUAUUCUUCACAUUUGUAACCGCGGGGGAUCACCAUCAACGCGCAUGGCCCUGUCGUUUCAGGCGAUGGCACGGCAAUGUCCGACCGAGUAAGCGCGCGAGCUCGAGUGAGACCGAAUUGGAUACAUAAGUAGAGAAGAAUAGAGAGAGUGGUCCAUGCCAUGCCAUUGUAACCCAUAUUUGUUGUUAGUAUAUAUGUUAGUAGAAUAAAAGGAUGCAACAUAUAUAUACUGUAGGGGGGUGGCUUUUAAAAGCUUUUAAAAAAGGAAGGGGGAGGGAAAUUGAGGAGAGAGAGAAAAAGAAGUGUGAAAGCAAAGAGAGAAUUGAGUUUUUUUUCCCCCUACGAUGUGAUAAAUGACUCAAAUGUUGAUGCCUUAAAAAGUGUGGGGCUUCUCUUUUUGGCUUACUUUAUUGGUUAUACGUAUAACAUGUUGUCGAGGGCGUACAGGCUUGGGAUUUAGGAGUUGACGUUCAUUCGGUUUGGGAUAGAUGGGUGGGCAAGAAGGGGCCGCAAUCUACGCCUAAUAGGAUCCCAGAAUUAGCGGCCUGUUUGUGGAUCAUUUGGGAGAACAGAAAUAAUACAAUCUUCAGAAUGAUUCAGCUGGACUCCCUGAGAGUUGUUUGUAAGGCUAAACAGUUGUCGAGCUCUUGGGAUCAAUUUUUGUCGGUUAAUUGGUAAUUUUUUUUUUUUCACCCUUCUCGAGGUCCGGAUGAAUGAAGCGGAUGCCAUGCUAUCUUAUUCUCAAAAAAAAAAAAAAAAAAAAAAAAAAAAACAUGUUGUGGGGAAAUGAGGAUGGGAUUUGAUGCUAAGGCUAGUUGAAGUAAUCAUUGUUGCAGAGUAGUGAAGAAUCAUUAAUGUUCACACUAGAGGGAAAAUUAGUUAAAAGAAAAAGAAAAAAAAAAAGUGGGCAUGAACUUUUGGUUAUUAUGCUUUUGGGGUAGCUUUUAAUUGACUUGAAUAGGCUUUUAUUAUACACACUUUGUAGAUUGAUAUCAUUGAGUGAGGACUAAAGUCCUUGCGUCCAAAUUCACAACCAAAUAAAUAUAAUAUUUUUUAAAUUAAAAUCAAAUCAUCUAUUAACAGAGUAUUUACUAUACGCAGAUCAAAUAAAUAAAGAAAGAAAAUAAUUCCUUUAACUUAUUUUCUAUUUUACUGAGUUUUGCUAAAAUAUAUAUAUAUAUGCGCAUGAGAAAAAAAACAAAAAAUACGAGUUCCCAUAAGAACGUGUAGACAACGUGAGUGCGUUGGGAUAUUGUGGAAACGUAUACAUCAUCCACAAUAGCCUUUUGCGUUACGGAGAGGCCCCAAAGAAAACAUAUAUAUAUACACACAUGCACUGAUCAAUUUUGUUCUCAGGGUUACGUAGAUAGAGAUAUUUUUGAGGAUGGGGUUUGUUAACGAAUUAUUGUAGUUGUUGUUGUUGUUGUUGUUAGAGAGAGAGGGAGAGAGAGAGAGGGAGGGCCACACGUGUGACGUGGCUACAGGAACUCCCUACAACAAACCAAUUUGGGGACCCACCACUUCACACGUGGGAUCCUCUUAACACGUGGAAAUUUGUGAUAAGAGUAUAGAAUUUUUCGUACACAUAAAGUUUUGUUUGGUAUUACGAAAAUAUUACGUUAUAUAUUAUGAGAAAAUAUGAUAAAAAAAUAUCAUAUUAUUUUUGUAUAUAAUAUUGCGUUUUGUAUAUUGCAAUGAGUCGGUUACGAUAUAUUUUUUGCAGUCCCACCGAAGAACGUAGAAAUAUAUCCUUAUAUAUUUUUAUCCCGACUUAAUUUUAUCUAAUAGCGUCAAAUAGACCUCAAUACCAAACUAAGCCUAACUCGUUUUCGAUAAUAGAGCUNNNNNNNNNNNNNNNNNNNNNNNNNNNNNNNNNNNNNNNNNNNNNNNNNNNNNNNNNNNNNNNNNNNNNNNNNNNNNNNNNNNNNNNNNNNNNNNNNNNNGAUUAUAUUGUCAAAUCAUUUGAAAUUUUUCUUAUAUAAAAUGCCAAAUUAUGAAAGGAAAGAUAGAGAGAGAAAAAGGAAAUAAAGAAAAAAUAAAAAUUUUGAAAAUAUAGUAGAUGUAAAAUGACUAAAUUGUCUAUGUAUUAAAAGACAAAAAUAUUCUUUUUUAAGAUACCUGGUAACCGGUACCUUUCCUAAAGUGACCUGCUAUUGUAGGUCACAAUUUAAAAAAAAUUAAAUCUGAACCGUUGAAUACACGUGAAUGAACGGUAACCAACAAAAAAAAGUAUAGAAGCAUUACUCAAAUAAAAAAUAGAAUAGACAUUAAUUUCUCAGAUAUAAUACUAUUAUUAUCGUACCAAGUUGCGUAAAUAAAUAAUUGUAGCUUAGAUAGACCAUUUGCUUAAUUACCCAGCCCAAUGUAGUUGUGGAACAUUUUCUCAUACAAUCCCUCCCCUCUCCCCUCGUCUCUUCGUUCUCUUAAUUUCUACUGCUGCAUUAAUUCUAUCCAUCUAUCUAUCUAUAGAUUCUAUAGAUUCUGUACUAUCAAAAUCGAUAUAUGCAUGGCGGACUGCAUCUGUAAGGUUGUUGAUGCGGCGAUCUCGCCGCUGGUGAGCCUCGUCACGGAGCAUCUGGCGUAUCUUCUUAAAGCGGAGGACAAUUUGGACGAGCUCGAGAAAGUCGCCGCGGAGCUGGCCGCCAGGAGGAAGGAUGUAGACGAGAGGAUCCAGUCCGGCCGCAGAACAACCGGCGGCACUGCGACGAANGCCCUAGAGCUCUCUUAUAUUAGAAAAGUUUCCAUUUUGGCCUGAUCCAACCAAACAUAUAUAAGGUCUUGGCCCAGUAAAUAUUAUAUGGGCUGGGCUGGGCUGGACCAUUUAAGUUUGUGUUCGACCUAUUGAAGUUGUGGGUUCGUUCGCAUCGGGCCUGUAUCACGAGCUCUCCUAGUAGAGACCAGACCAACUUUAAUAGGUUAAUCCGGUACUUGAACAUUUAUGUAAUAAGAAAUCGAUAUCCAUGUUUGGGUAAUCUAGCGUAAAAAAAGAAAGGAACAUAAAGUCCAACGAAAAUAUGGGGAGAUUUUCUUUUAUUUUGUGAGUUUGCAUGUAGCUUGCUAUUCUGUAAAUUUGGAUAUAAACCGCUGUACUAGGCCGAAGUAACAUGCUAGAGUCUUAAAUUUGAACCUUCAUUGAAGAAGGUUAAAGGGUAGUUGUUUCCAUUUUUCAAAAAGAAAUGAUUUUAGUAGAUUCAAUUUUAACACAGAUAGAUUGGUUAUUGUUUCCAAGUUCAAUACUGAAUCUUUAUGAGAAUAAAUGAAUCUUCGUGAGAAUAAAUUUAAACCCUUUUUCAUAAGUUUUAUGACUUUUUUUUUUUUGAUUAAGAUAGGUAGUACGUUACCCGCUUUAUUUAUUUCAUUUAGAAAUAAAUAUAGCUGAAAAUGUGAAUCAAUUAGGAUUCGAACUUGAAAUCUCGGGUACCAACCACCAAACCUUUGCCACUUGCUCAAAGACGGUUAGUAGGCAUCAAAUAUUUCAUAUCUCAAAAUAAGUAACCGAGAUAUACAGAAGUAUAACGCUCUUCUUAGGAAGAAGACAUUUCAACAACACUUUAGUAGCUGCGUAUUGAGCAAACAAAUGGUCUAAUGUUAAGCACGCAUAUUUUCUCACCCUUGUUGGCAUUUUUUUUUUUUUUUUAUUAGUUAUCUAUGCAAAUUUUAUAUACAUAUAUAUUUUUUUACCUGAAAGAAAUUUUAUCGAUCAAACUUAUAAGAAAGUUACUCUGACAGGCACGACAAGUUGGAGAUUGACAACCCGCCGGCGGCGGGAAUAGAAUACCGGUAUCUUGAUCAGGCACUCCAAUUUAUCAACGAUGACGCGGUGAAGAUGGUCGGAAUCUGGGGCAUGGGCGGGGUGGGGAAGACCCACCUCCUCAAGUUCAUCAACAACUCGUUCGCUCGCCAAACUUCUUUCGACGUCGUGAUCUUCGUCACAGCGUCUAGAGAGUGCUCCGUAGCACGGAUUCAAAGCGAGAUUGUGAAUACGCUCGACUUGCCCGCGAUAAACAACGUGCAGGACCAGGCCAGAAUCAUCUCAGACUUUCUGCGCGAAAAGAAUUUUCUCCUGCUGCUGGACGAUCUGUGGGAACGACUCGACCUGGGAGCCGUCGGCGUCCCGAUGCCUUCGGCCGCGGGCGAGCAGCUUAAAAGAAAGGUGGUGUUGACAACGAGAUAUUUGAAAGUCUGCGGCCAGAUGGGUGUAAGCAGGAGGAACAGCAUCAAAGUGGAAUGUCUGGACGGCGACGACGCUUGGCUUCUCUUCCGAGAGACCGUCGGCGAAGACACGAUCGGCUCUAGUCUUGCCGUCGAAGCCCUCGCAAGAAAAGUAGCCAGAAAGCUGGGCGGCUUGCCCCUCGCUCUCAUCACCGUCGGAAGAGCCAUGUAUGAUAAGGAAGAUUCGAGGGAAUGGGGACAUGCCAUCGACCUGCUGCAGGACGCGCGCCACGACGAGGUCGAUCCGGAUGCAGAGGAAGAAAGCUUGUUCCAUACCUUGAAGUUUAGCUACGAUAGGCUACGGAAUGAUGCCUUGAGAGAUUGUUUGUUGUGCUGUUCCUUGUGGCCGGAGGAUUCCUGCAUCCCCAAAAAUGAUCUUAUCCUGNAUAUAAUAUAUAUAUAUUACUAUGUAUAUUACUUUCUUAUUAGGAUAGUAUUAUUUAUUUCUUUGUAUAACAGGAUAUAAUCCUGUACUUCCAUGUAAAGCUUUUCCUCUCUCUAUAUAAGAGAAUGGAUUUAGAUGAAUAAUAUACAGAAAAUUUCUCAAAUCUCUUGUUUCAGUGCUGUUCCUUGUGGCCUGAGGAUUUCUGCAUCCCCAAAAAUGAUCUUAUCCUCUGUUUGUUGGGGUUGGGCGUGAUCGACGGGUUCGACGACAUGCAGAGUGCGUAUAACAUAGGAUACGAUCUCAUAGCUAGCCUGCGAUCUGCAUGCCUGUUGAACGACGACGACCUCGGCUUCGGAGUGAGGGUUCACGAUGUUAUUCGCGACAUGGCACUGUGGAUAGCUUGCAACUGCGGGGAGAGGAAGAAGAAAUGGUUUGUGAAGGCAGGACUGGGGUUGACGGAGGCGCCGCCGCAAGGGACGGGAAUUGUAUGGGGCGAGACCGACUGCGUGUCGUUAAUGCAUAACAGGAUCAAAGCAUUUCACGGCUCUCCCGGCAGUUCCUCCCCCGCCGCACUUACAACCUUGAUGCUGCAAGGUAAUCGGCUACGCAAAAUUUCGCUCGCGGCUUCUCCCUCCCUCGCGGCACUCGCGUACCUAGAUUUGUCUCACAAUAAACUCAACGGUUUCCCGGAAAAUAUAUGUCGGCUGACCACCCUUCGAUACCUCAACUUGUCGUUCAAUCUAAUCCGCGAAUUGCCUGCGGAGCUUAAACUUCUGACUAGCCUCGAGUACUUGAUUCUGCGUGAAAGCAACGUCCGGAUAAUUCCUGCGGGUGUUAUACGCGAACUCGAGGCGCUUCAGAUGCUGGACUUGCGCGGAUUCCUGUCCGGCGCGGUGGAGUAUUUGCCGUGGCUAUUCGAAGAGUUGGAGGCGCUCAAUAACCUGAAGGCUCUAGAGAUCAGUGUGAAGGAUGUGAACCAGUUGAAUCGGCUCGAUGAGUUACGGAGGACGCGAAUUCGGUCCCUCAACAUAUUUCACUUCGAGCAAACGACUCUUCCCUUGUUGGCCACUCCUCUCGGCAGCUCUCGAAUACAGAACAGCUUGUUCGAUCUGGAGAUUGCCGGCAGCACCACUUUAGAGGAGAUAGUAUUCGACGACGCCCGUUCGUAUCGCAACCCGUGUUUUCACAAUCUGGAGAAGCUAUCAUUCGACGCGAUGCAUAGAUUGAACAUUGUGUUGGACCGAUUGGUAGCCAGGGAAGUUUUUCCGAGGCUCUGUACUUUGGAUUUCAGGUAUUGCAACAGCCUGAAGGAUGUUUCUUGGAUCUUGUAUCUCCCGUGCCUUCGCAUACUAGUUAUGCGCUCGUGCCGAAGCGUGACACAGCUCAUUUCUAGUACACAGAACGAUGACGGUAAAGGAGAAGUCGUGGCGGCGCCUACCUUCCCUUCCCUCAAAAGGAUAAGUUUGAUCAACCUGCCGGCGCUGCAAUGUGUGUGUGAUCCUGCAUACACCUUUCCAUGUUUGGAACAAUUUGUGGUUAUAAUGUGCGGGAGGCUUACGAAGCUGCCUUUCCGCGCCGAUACCAUCCCCAAAAACUUGAAGUUUAUUAGAGGUGACGAAACAUGGUGGGAAAGAAUAGAAUGGGAGGACGACGUCUGCAGAACUUCCCUUAAACUUUCGACGUCCACAUUUCUUCCCUUAGGUUCGUCUGAGAAAGGGAUAGCACGUUACGUGCUCAUUCAUUAGGUGGGUCAACUCAGCUACGAGUGAGGCAGCCACGGUCUCGAAAAAAAAAAAGCAUCAGAAAGUAAAAAUAAAAGUAAAAAUAAAAACUAGUAAGAACAUCAAGGUAAAGGAAAUAGAAACAACCAAACUUAGGGCGAAAUGAAAAAUGCCAUCAACCUCGACCAGUCCUACAAAAAUCGGCCCACUCCUUUGCAAGAACUCCGAUAUCAUAAACUUGAGGCGGUAGCGUCCAAGAACUCCGAUUUCUUCCCUUACGUACGUUCCUUCCAUAUAUAUAUAUAUAUAUAUAUAUAUAUAGAGAGAGAGAGAGAGAGAGAGAGAGAGAGAGAGAGAGAGAGAGAGAGAGGUUAGGGCUACUAUCCUAUUAAUAGGAUUGAAGCAUUUGUCCUAUCAAAUUAUUUUUGAUGAUAGAGAUUCCGAAUCGAUGAUCGGAGCCGUUGAAGUUGAUCUAGAAUAUUUGAAAUAUCUAUAAAUUAAAUUUCAUAAGUUUUAAAAAUUAUUUACAUGGUGAUCAAAGUGUUGUAAAAUCGAUAAUUUUUGACGGCCUAUAUGAGCCGUUUGCUUGUUUAACGGUGUAGAGCNACAAUCCAAAUUGCUUGAAUUUUUGAUAGAAAAUUUUUUAUACUAUUUAGAUAAUAUUUGAUAACUCUGAUUAUGAAUUGAGAAAGUCUAAUCUUUAUUUUAAGAAAGUUAUUUAUUUAUGAUCGUUCAUUUUUGAACUCUUAAGAUGAACUUGAUAAUGAUUUUUAAAUAUUACAAAAUUUGGUUUCUAAACAUUCUAAUUGUGUAGAUCAAUUUCAAUGGUGCCGAUUAUCAAUUUGAAGUUCCAAUAAUACAAACGACUUGAUAGGACAAUGGUCUCAAUUCUAUUAAUAGGAUAGUAGCCGGACUAUAUAUAUACAAGAUAGUAGUUUCUCUGAUCUACUGGGCUAGUUGUGUGUUUCCUUUUAGUGAUUCUCCUGUGCGACUUAGAAGCUACUUGCGUGUUUUUUCUCAAUUAUUGUCGGUGUGAGUAGAAAAUUAAUGCAAGUGUAUAAUUGUCUUCAUGUAAUCCAAUUAAUGAUUUUAUUUGUGUAACUAUCCAGCUCACUAGCUCUCUAAUAAUGUAUUGGCCCAAACUAGUAGAGGAGCCAAAAUUAGUUAAACUCAUUCAUUAUCAUUCAUUUUAACCACUAAUAAAUGCCUAAGUUAACCCCUUGGUGCUAAAUACUAUUCACAUACUAUUCGGGGCGUCUGAUUAGAUGUAAUUAUAAAUGCAAUAUAGUUAGAAAUGCAUACCGUUGAAAAUGCAGUAAUUAUAACUAUAUGCAUCAUGUUUGAUUGAAUGUAGUAGAAAGCAUUACAAGUAUAAAUAAUUUGUUUGAUUGUAUGCAGUAGAUAAAUAAUUUUUAAAAUUUU
rnacentral:lncRNA from 1 species